rnacentral:lncRNA from 1 species
AAGAAAUUAGCUUUCUUUUAAAGAAAUUAUAUUAGCUUUAAAAACUUUAUACAACAUUCCUAUUUAUAAGGAAGAUAAUCGUUUAAUAGGAUACAAAAUAAAUAUUCUAUCGAUUAAACCAAUCAUAAUCAAUUUUGUAAAGUAUUUAUUCAAAUCUAAAAAUUCUAAGCUUAACUAACCAAAUAUGAGAUAUUUUAAAAAUUGUCAGAAUCGGUAAUUUAUUGUAUAUAUUCUAUUAAAAUUGAAGUACAAAAUAAUAUUUAUAUAUUUGUAAUUGAUUUUUUCAAUCUUCUUCCUUCAUUUUAACUAAUUUAAACCAAUUUAUUUAUUGUAUUUUCCAAAUAAUUCUACUUCAUUUAUAUUUAUUAUAGAGUACAAAAUAGAACUUACAUACUCUUAAGUGUUUUUAUUACAUCUUUUGCAACUCUUCUUUGUCACUCUUCCUAAUUACUUCAUCAACUAUAUUAAGCAUAAUAAUUUGACAACACUUAUUUUAAUUUUUACCAAAAUAAUUUCACAAGUUUGAAUGAAAUUGAUUAAUUCAUGACAAGAAUUCAAUCGAUUAAUAAUUUUUUUAUUUGUAUAAAGAAUCAGUUAGACAUGAGCAUUCAGGUAACUGUUCGGGUACAGAUCGGUUUUUGAGUAUCAGAUUUUAGGGUUUAAAAUUAAAUUUUGUUUGGAUAUUAUAAAUUUUUGGACGAAGUUCGGAAUCGGAUCAUUUUGGAUUAUGAUAGACUUGUAAGGACCUAAAAAUAUCUAAAUAACCUAUGUAUUUAUAAUGUCAUUAUAUAAUUUAUAAAAAAGUAAAAACUUAACAUCAACACAGACGUGCAGGUCAAGCUCUAGUUUUGUUUUAAUUAAAAAAAGACAAUACCUAGGUUAAGGUGUAGUUUUGUUUUAAUUAAAAAAAGACAAUACCUAGGUUAAGGUGUUUGGGUAUUUGUGUAAAUCUUUGUGAAAUGAUUAUUAAACAUGUACCUGAUUUAAUACCCAAAAUAUAUCAAAGUAUUAAUAAUUUUCAAAUAGAAGUUAAAAAUAUCUAAAAUUCUUAGAAAAAUCUUAAAAUUUUAAUUUAAUUUUAAUUUAAUUUUAAAUUUUAGAAAAAGUAAGUAAAGUGUGAUAAUCUUAAAUUGUGUAAUAAAAGUUUAUUGUAAAAUUUUAGUUUGAAAAUGUAUAGAUUGAUAGAUAUGAACUUAAUAUAUUUUUCAAUACAUAAAUUUAUAUGAAAACAAUGAUCGUAUUUAUUUUAUAAAACAAUAAUAAUUAUUAAACAUAAAAGUUGGGUUAGAGAAUUUAUAUCAAAAUGGACUAAUAACUGAAUUUUUUUGGUUAACUACUAAUUGAAUUCUAAAAAGAUCAAAAAGUCAUUCUUAAUAUUUUGGGCCAAGAAAAUUAAAAAGACUGCCAUUUGUUAUUAUUCUGUUAGGUUUUUAAACUCUCUAGGAAGAUAAAGAUUAAUCGUUUAUGUUUUUUGUUAGCAUAAGUUUAGGAAAUAUUUUGGUUGUUUUAGUUAAUAUUAUUAGCAUGCCAAUCGUUUGUCACAUUCCCUUUAUUCAUGAAUAUAUUCUAAAUUUUAAUAAUACGGAAUUUGUUAAUUCUAAAUUUUAAUACAUCUACUCUACUAAUUAAUACAUCUGCAAUAUUUCGUAUAUAUAUACUUCAAUGUUUUAUAACAUGUGUCAAUGAUAAAUAUGGAUGGAUUCUAUCAUCCACAUAUAUAUUGUCCAUUACUGAAAAAUGCAUGAUGAUGAUGUAUGCAGGGCCGUCUCAAACUUUACGGAGACCCUGUUCAAAAAAAAAUAAGACCCUUUAUAAUAAUCUAAAAUAAUUUAUGUUUUUUCUGACAGAAUAUUGUAAUAUAUAAUAAAUACACCAAUCUAAUUUAAUUGGAAGAAGCAUUUUUUUCUUUUAUAAUUGAAAACUUAUGAAAAGCAUCUUUUCGGGACUAUGAAUUUUUCAGUUUUUUUUUCUUUUGAUUCUUUUUGUAUCUACAGUUAAGAGUUAUAAUCUAUAAAAAAACACAAACAAAACAAUAGAAUCUUGAUAGUGGUUAGAAAAAAAACCGUGGACUCUUGAUUUGAUUAAACAAGAAAUUGGAGACUCCUCAGUUUUAUUCUUUGAUAGAUGCUUAGACUAAUGUUUCUUUUUUGUGUUUACUAUUUUUUGUAAAAGUUGCUGAAAAAUUAUAUAUUUCCCUCUUUAUUUACAAUCACUAAUUAAUAUAGUUUCCUAAAUAUAAUCAAAUUAGAAUAUUAACUUUCUAAAUUUACAUUGAAUAAUAAAUCAAACACCAACAGCUAUUUUUUACUUUCCAAAAUAUAUAAUUGAUAUAAUGUUAAUUUCUUCCUGACUUAUUGCAUUUUUGUUGGUUAUGUAAACAAAAUCAAAUUUGUAAUUUACAUAUAUUGUUUAAUAAAUAUGAAAAUUAAAUUAAAUAUAGUUAUCUGAUUUUUAAUAAAUACAUGAUUUUAAAUUUAUAGCUAUUACUAAAAAAAAAUUAUGAGUCCUCUAAAAUUUUGGACCAUGUUCGACCGCUCCACUUGCACGUGCUAAAAGACGGCCCUGGAUGUAUGUGUAGAUUUGUUUUAUUAGUGUAUUGUAAAGAAUAAUAAAUAAGAGUCCAAGAUUCAAAUGCAAAAGUAAUUGACAUAAUUUUAUUUGGACAGUCGAAGAUUCAAAUACAAAGUUAGAGUUAUGAAUAAUCCAAACUCGUAUUAAUGUUUUCACGUAGGAGAAGUAUUGUUAUCAUUGUAUAACCGUGAAUAGACUUUAUUUGUAGAAGGAGAGUUAUAAUGUACUAGAUACGGACCUUUUUUGAUGUUUUAACUUUACGAAAAACAUAAAAAGAAUGAAAAUAUUUUUCACAUUAGUUUUUAAAUUUUUUUAGUAUAUAUUGGUGUAAGACUUAUUUUAGUAUAAUAAUCAAUUUUCUUACAUAAAUUGUGAUUAGUAUUACUACUUCAGUAAUGGUGUUUUAAAAUAGUCUAUUAAUUUUUUUAUUUUUCUAUAAAUAGUUCACUUUAAAUUAUUUUUAAUAUUAUAGUUAAUUAAAACAUAUAGAAUUGAUGUAAACUAUCUAUAUUAUUUAUAUUGUGUAAGAAAAUUCAAAAAAAAUCAAAAUUAAUGUUAGACGAUACUAAUACUCUCAAAAUUUUGCACAUGAUAUGCUAUCAAUAAAAAGGCCUCACUCAAGCAAAAUAAUGUUGGCUUCAAAUAAUGGUGAGGGUUAAAGGGUAUGAGAGUGCUAUUUGGGUAAACAAAGAUAUAGGUCGCUGCAAAGACCCCCUCUGGUGCUCUUUCUCGCCCAAAUGAUCACUUUCCUACUCCUUUUUUUUUUAUCCCAAAUGCCUCCAAAUACUUCGAAGAACUCCAAUGGAUACUCCCACACCUAAUAAAAACUUAUGCAAUGCAAAAGGGACCUAAAAAAUGCCUCAAUUCUAUUCUAAAUGAUCAAAAUGUAUAGGAAUGAAUGAUCAAAACAAUGUAAAUAUGCAAGAUAUUAGACACCAAUCAAUAUGCAUUAUUGAUAUUCAGCUAAAUAUCAAAUAUAUUGCUUGAUAACCAUCAAAUUUGUUUCCCGCUAUACCCUACCUUAGCAUCAAUAGUGUGACUAUAACCUCUUUCUAUAUAUCAUAUAUUUCUGAAUUUUUUUUGAUAUACAAUAUUUUGUAGAACACUAUUGUCGAUAUGUUUUGUGUCUACUUUAAAAAUUCUGAAUUCAUGCAGUUGUUGUGACUCUUUGAUAGUGAAGUGUACAAUUGUCCAUGAGAGAUCAUCUUGCAUCUGUUGAUGUGAGACUUGUUUUAGGAAUAAGAAUCUGUUGAUUAUUGAUCUCGGUUAGGAUUUUUCUGCUUCAGUAAUCAUGUUGUCUAGGCUAGUUAUUAGUUAAAUUUUUACAUUGCAAAUUUCUUUUCGAUGAUUUAAAUUCCUUAAUAACAUGACUGAAACAUCUAUUUUGAGAUCAAGUUCGUGAUUUGGAAUCCCUGAAAAAAUUAACAUAUUUAAAAAUCUGUGGGAUAUAGAAUAUGCUGAUUUAUAACUUCUUCUUUGUUGUUACCAAUACUAUCAGAACUCAAAUGUUCCUUUUGCUCACCGUCUAAGCACUUUAACAUAUAGUUAUCUAUUUUACCAACCCUUUCAUUCCUUAUUCUUUGGUGUAAGCAUUGCUUUUUUGAUGAGAUAAUUCUUGUCUUCAAAAGUAAAUUUGGAAAUCUUGAUAUAUAGACAUUGUAAUGCAUUCAAAAGGAGCUGCAUUCUUUUGCAAGAGCAAUUUGUUGUCUAUCAAAGAAGGUAAAUCAUGUGAACAUCAGUUUAGAUGUGAAAGGACAUGCAGAAAAUCUCACCUAAAUAGAAAAGUCGAUUAUUCAUAAUAAAUUAACAUUAACUUAACUACAACAAUAUAACGAAUUUAUAUUGUCGAUAAGAACAAACACAUAUAAGCAUAAUAGUCACAUUAACUUUUGUACAGCAGAAUAACUGCAUAACAUCUAUUUGACUAUAUGUACAAACGCCAAAGUGUAAUUGUGGCAAUAACUAACGUACAUCAUCAUUACAAUUAUGACAAAAAAAUCAACAUCAGUUUAAGAAGAAAAAAAAACAUGUGAAGAUCAGGAAACCUAGUUAUUUCAAUCAUAUGUUACAAUGCUAAAAAAAAAAUCAUCCUUUGUCGUUCACAUGGAUGCAGAGUUACCGAUCUGGUUUACAGAGUCAACAUGAGUUUGUAAAUUCUUUGCUGUCAAAAAAAAAUCAUAGUUUACAAUUAUUUUUUCUUUAGGAUUUUAGAAAAGGGAAAUUAAUAUUAAAUAAAUUAUUUUAUAAAUAUUUUUUUGUUUAGGAUUAACAAAAAGGAAAAUUUCUAGAAACAGCUACUAUUAAAUAAUUUUUGAAAUUAAUACUUACUAUUAAAUCAUUUUUAAAAUUCGUUUUUAUUAUCUUAGCAUAUAUAUAUUUAAUCAUGAGAGAUUUUAACACAUGUCGAUAUAUUAAAAGGAAACCCACUAUCACAUAAUUAUCUGCUUAAGAUUUUUAAAAAGAAAAAAUAUUAUUAAAUAAUAUUUACAUUUACUUUUUUACAAAUUUUUUUUUUUGUUAUUAUCUAAUUAUAUAUAUUUUUAAUUAGGAGAUAGUUUAACACAUAUCAUAAUUUUGAAUAUAUAUUUGCUACAUGUCACAAUCGUGUUAAUUAACAACUUUGAAAACCAAACUUUAUAUAAUAAGAUAACCAAAAUAUAAGGAAUGAUAAUUAUCUCUUAUUUCUCACGUUAGGUCCAAAUUUAAAUAAUAACUAAAUAAAAAGUAUGAUUCUAAAUUAAUAGAUUAGAUUAAGUGGAUGAAGUUGAAUGGGAAAAGAUCUGACUGUUUGCUCCAAGAAGGAAUGUAUGUACAUUCAUUUAACACACAAUAACUGCAAAUAGAGAUCAUAACAUUGAUAUGUUCCAUUUGUUGUUCAUUCAUCGAACAGGCUUUGUGUCGAAGCUGCUUAAACAAAUGGCAAAAGCUUGGAAUGCGGAGAUCGGGUAACGAUAAUCCAUGGUGAAUGUAUCUUUCCCUAUCUUCCCAAACUGCAGUAUCACUCUCUCUUGUUCCUCUUCAGGGAUGUUCAUGUCCUUCCCUGCUUCUGCAGCAGCAGCCAUUAGCUGGAAGUUUUUCACGGAGGCAACCGUGACUCGUCCUUUGAAGUUAAGACACCAGCACUGAAGCUGCUCGUGCCAUCUGGGCAACUUGUUUUUCAGGACUAAUGGUUCCUUCACGACGGAUUCUCCUCCCAAGUUCCCUGACCAGAAAUCAAUCAGCCCUCUCUUCUUCUUGCUUCCUAGGUUUGACAACUCGGUCGGAGUAUGAAUCUGUCCCCCUUCUUGAAUAGAAGAAACUGGGAUAGUGUUCAUGAUACAUUGCAUUCUUCUUGGACCUCUGGUUCUAAGGACAUUCAGCUCAUACAAGAUCGAAGCCAUGCUGUAACUGUGAGUAGAUGAAGUUACCCAUGGAGACACACGCAUCGUCUGUGAUAGUUUCUUGUUAAAUGAUCUUCGGGAAUCAACCGGAGAAGGUUGGUUUUCGUAAACCGUGAACUUAGUUCCAAGGAAAUUCGAUCUAUCCACCCAACAACAAGAAGGAAAGUUAUAAAUGUCAUGGCGAUAUUAAACGAUCAAAGAUGACAAAUAAGGUACCUUAGUUUCCCAAUAUAGUUACUGCUACUUCUUGAGAAGUCCUUUCCAGACAAAGAUACAAUAAACUCAACACCAGUCGCCCUCCUUACCCUCUUAGCCGAUAGCAAGAGCUUACUCUUGUCCCCGGUAAGCGCUGAAACCAUACAGACAUUAAGAUGACAACACAUAGUCCCAAGACUCACAAGAAGUAAGAGAAGUUAAAACUACCAGGGCUUAAACCAAGAUAGAGACGGUAUAUCCCAGUGGCUCUCUCCCGUUUGAUAAAGCAUUGAAUCGGAUCAUCUCUAGGGCCAGGCUGAGACAAGAACCCCCAAUGUCUUUUAGCUCAUCACUUCCAACGAUUACAAGAACGUUCUAGAAAGAGUAUAAACCUGUUUUAAUGAAACUGGAAAAGUGAGGAGACCAGAGAUCUCAGGAACCUUAACAACUUCUUUAGUCAUCUCCCUCCAGGCCUUACAAACCGAGGCGCAAGCAACAACGUCUCUCCUCCCCGGCCAUGAGGUCUGACCAGACUCGAUUCGAUGGAUGAUGUCAAGAAGCAGCUCCGGAGGCAAAUCAACCCAAACGCUCUGAUAUAAACAAUCAUCAGCAGCUGAUGGAGAAGGAGAAGAUCCUUCUGGAGCAAUGUGAGACCUUCCUCGUCUACCAUUGGCUUUGUUGUUACGACCCCUAAGCUCGCGUACUAUGUUCUUCAACGGCAUUUCUACAAUUCAACUUCUCCUACGGACCCCCAAAUCGAUCAAACGAAGCAAAAAAAAAAACCCUAAUUUGUACCUUCAACAAACGAACAAAGAUUAAAUCAUGAAAAGGGCAUUAUCGUGUAAUGAAAACGAGAGAGAGAGAGAGGGGAUGUAUGUACCUAGAGAAGCGACAAAUCCAUGGGGAAUCACGACGAUCGGGGUGAAUUCCGAUUAAGAAAGUCUCGAAUUGAGAAAUUUUAAAACGCUCCUUGAAAGUAAAUAGAGCCGCCACCACCACAACUCCUCCGAUGUUGUUAACCGUCGCCGUCGUUAGGUUUGAAUCCCGACGACGACAAUGAUUUCGAGGAGAAGGGAGAGAGAAAGAGGAGACGGGAAAGUUUCCGUUUUCUUUUUUAUUUAUUUAUUUAAUUAAUAAGAGUAGGCGCGGCCCCAUCUCUCCCUCCUUUCAAUUGAAAUUAGUAAAUUACUCAAAAUAGGUUUUUAUCUCUUUUUUUUAUUUUAUUCUCUUCCAUUUUGGUCAAAUUACUUUCUCACAAGUUUUUGUUUAAGUUAUUAACAUAAAAAGAAACUUUCUGUCUUUUUAUUACACCAUUAGACAGAUUUCACUACUGAGAUAGUUUGUGGAAGUAAAAUGACAACACUAACCCUAACAACACUCACCUUUUGUAGAUUGUGAAAAGCACACUAUCUCUUUUAUUCUUCUUUUAUUUACAGUCAUACUUUUUUUUAUAAAUAAAAUUGUUUUCUUCUUCUUUAUCUCUUUCAUCAUCUUCUUUUCUCUUUUCCUAUGUCGAUAAAGUGGUUAUGGAUCAAAUUAAACUGAUUUGAAACAAAGAAACAAAAAUCUAAGCGUGCAUACACCUCUCAAGUUCUGAUGGUGGAUUUUCUGAAUCAAAGUCUUAAUUCGUUGGUCUAUCUUAUUCUUCUCCAUCUCUACCUUCAUCCUCCACAAGAAUAACCACCAGAGAAAUAUCAUUAAAACGAGAUGUAGCCAUAAGUACAAAUGAAGGCAAAGAGAAAGUGGCUAAGAAACCCGAUGUAUCUCCACCUCCUGUUCAAUCUCCGUCUCAGCCGUAGAGGAAGCUAGAUGAUGUAAAUCCAGAGAGAUUGGAACUAAGUUGACCGCAGCUUGGCGAGGUAAGAUUACAUUUAAUAUAUUUGUUUUCUCCUGCUUAAUACUGAAUUUCAAUUAUAAAGUUGAUCUCUGAUUCCAAAAGAUGCAGCUUGCUUCCUUUAGAUUUGUUUUUUAUUUAUUUAUAUCAACUCAGCUUAUUAUGUAUUACCUUUGAAACUUAGCUUUAGAUGAUUCACAAAGUAUAUAUGAUUUUUGAAUCUAGUAUUUUGAAAUGACUUACAAAGCUAAUUCAGAUCUGUAUGGAUCCUAGAGAAACAUAAGGUUCUGAUUUUAUGUUAUAUUGUUAUAUGAUGUAUUUGUUUUGUUGGAAAUGUUGGUUUGAACGAUGUGUCUUGAUUGAAUUAUCUAUUAUUCUAUUUUUUUGUUCUUGGACGGACAACUCCAUAAUGUGGACAAGUAUUGGCAUGGAGUCAAAGACAAGAAGCUAUUCAUGUGUACGCCGCGUGUAAGUUGUCAAUGUGUACGCCUUGUGUAAAUUGUCCAUGUGGACAUCUCAGUUGUCCAUGUGGACAUCUCAGUUGUCCAUGUGAACGACAUUUGGUGGGAAUGUCUUGUACUAAGUAAUAUUAUUAUAAUUUUUUUGAUUGUGAAAGCCAUGUAUAAGAAAUAUCAGAUGUUGCAUUGUCCGUACAUAUAUUCUUGAACACUUGUUUGGUACCACAAAUGCCAGCUGUGGCGCAUCGACCAAAAAACGGGUACCCAUUGUGUAUGAGAGAUAUACAACAUUGAAGCUGGCUUAGUAAGAAGAUUUGGUAUGUUUUAGAGGAGAAGCAUUGUCCAAGUAAAAUAAACACUCGCAUUUUUUGUUUGCAAGUGUUUUACAUGUACAUGUACUCGUAGGUGUCCACAUGUACGCAUGCACGUUGAUGUACACAUGUAUACUGAUGUUUAGUCUUCAAGACUUGAUUCAAUCAUAUUUAUUUAUGGUGUAAUAGUUGCAAAUAACUUAAUAAAAUACAAAUCUUUCCAUCUGAUUCAUCCAAUUUUCUUUUGAUAUGGAAAGUUUGGUAUCCAAUUCGAUCUAUGUUGCUAAGAAGGAAAAAAAUUGGAGCUUUUACAUACGUAGUGAGGACUUUUUUUUUUGGACAAACCGUAGUGAGGACUCUCUUUGCUUCAUAUAAGUGAAAAAUUGUAAUGAAAGUUUAAGAAGGAUUAUUAUCAAAGAAUUUAUAUUUAUCUUACGUCUCUUUUUUAAACUGAUGUACACGUGGACAGUCAAACAUUGUGUACACAUGGAUAGUCAAAUAUAUAUUUACACGUCGAUGGUAUUUGUCAGUAUAUAUGUAAAACAUUCAAAUGCUUUCAUAUGUGUGUAUUAGAUUACUAAAUGUUAAUAUUCAUUGCAACGGCAAAUCAUUGUCCAUCUUUUACUCUUUUGUACACAUAAAUGUACAUGUAGAUACUGAGAAUUAUGCGUACAUGUGGAAUACUAUUUUGUAACAGUAUAUAUGUUGAUCAGUGAAAACACAUCAAGAGACGUAAGAUAAAUAUAAAAUAUUUGAUAAUAAUCCUUCUUAAAUUUCAAUUACAACUUUUGACUAUCUAUGUGUACACAAUGUUUGACUGUCUACGUGUACAUCAGUUUAAAAAAUGUACAUGUACACUGAUUACAAACCAAACAAUGAUCUGUGUAAUUCACAAAGACGAAUAUGUGCAUUCAAAAAUUACAAAUCUUUACACCUUUAACGAUGACAACCGGAGUCGUUGUUCAGUUCAAUCAUAACCGCUUCAUUGAAAUUAUAAGGAAGCAGCCAUAUGCACAAACCGAGUUCAUCGAAGUUAUCUAUCCAUCACCAGAACGAUGGUUAAAUCCACAGUGGAAGAUGAGACGAGGAUUCCAAACGUUGAUGUUGAUGAUUCCAUACAAACUUGAUAUCUCAUAAUCAUACCUCACAUUUACCUUCGUCAUCCUUGUCGUCGCCGUCUUCAUCAUCAACUCUGUCAUCCUCUAUUUCCUCAUCUUAUUCUUCUACUGGUUCUAUAUGAGGCCGACUAAGGGUUGUAAAAUCGAACUCCAUCGUCACGUGUUUUUCAUCUUUAUCAUAAUCUUCAUCUUCUUCUCCACAUGAUUUGUUUUACAGAAAAAAAAUUGUACGAGAAAGACAAGAAAAGAAUUUAAGAGAUAAGGAAAGAGAAAGAGAAAGAGAAAAAGAGAUUGAUUUAUGGCCACAUAAUUCUUUUUUUUGGUAUUUUUGUUAGAUUUAAAAGAAAAAUAAUGAGAAAGGGUAAUAAUGAAUUUUCAUACGCUGAAAAGAGGAGAGAAGGUGUUGAAAUGAGAGAAAAAGUGUGUAGGUAGUUGAAACUGUCCUAGAGUGAAAUAAUAAACUCAAAAACUGCCUUCUAGUGUAAAUCUUUCUUUUUGUUUUUGUAUUUUAUUCUUCCAACAAGAAAAUACUUUAAAGCAAAUCUCCUAAGAAAAACACCGAAAACCUUUUUUGACCAAAAAGACGCAAAAGGAAAAUGAUUUUAAAUAAAUUUAUUAAAGAGGUAAAUGACAAGUAUACCAUUACUUUAUAUACGGUAAAACUCUAUAAAUUAAUAAUGUUAAGACAAGGAUAUUUUAUUAAUUUAUAUAAUUAUUAAUAUAAAAUAAAUUUUAUUGUAUUAUUUGGUGUACAUAAAAUAUGUUUCAUAUAAUUGAAGUGUUUUUCAAGAUGUAAUUUUACUAAAUGUUAUCAGAAUAUAUUAAAAAUGUUAAGAAAACAUAGAUAAAUUCUAUUGCUGAUAUAAAAUAAACAAUAUAUUAAUGUGUUUAUUAAUUUACUGAGUAUUAAUUUAUAUAGUUUCUACUGUAUAUAAAUAUAAAUAAAUAAUAAAAUAUUAUUUCCCAAAAGAAAUUUAUUCAAUAUUCAAAAACCUUUUUCAAACACAAAUUUCAAAUUUUCUUCUUUUUUCCAAAUUUUAUAUCGAAAUGUGAAAAUUCUUUAUUGAAAAUUUAAAAUUAUUAUUUAAAAUUUUAAAUCUUAAACUUUAAAUCCUAAACCCUAUCCCCAAACAUUACCCCUAAAUUUAAACCCUAAGUUUAGAUUAUUUAACCAUAAGGGUAAACUUAUCUAUUACUUCUUUAAUAAAAUAUUUGAUUAUUUUGAUCCUUGUAAGCUAUUUUGUGAUUAAAAAAUUAAUGCUAUCAUAUGGUUUAUCUAUUGGCCAUAUUAAAAGAGUAUUUUUAUUAUAAGAAAUUGAGAAAUACUCUAUGAUAAAUAUACAAAACUUUAUCACAAAAAUAGUUCUAAAAGUCAAAAUGAUCAAAAUAUGUUUUAUUAACGAGAUAAAAGAUAUUUUUACUGUUACAGUUAACUAAGUUUUUUAACACUGGUUAGUUAUGCUAUUACAAACUAUGAAAAACAUUACAUAUACGAUAUUACAGCCGACAAUUAUGUUUGUCUUAUGAGGAUUCAUGUCUGACUACAUCACCUAGAGUCGCCCUAUGAGAUCCAUUCCUGAUGGUACUCUUUGCGCCAUGUCGAAGAUCUCUUAUAAGCUUUUUCUCUAAUAUUCUGCAUAAUUUGCCUUCUACAGAAAUUGAAACUCAGAUCUCCUGAUUUAAAAACAUUAAUGAACCUUUAGUUAAACCACUGGUUCAAAGGGGCUUACGGUCAACUAAUCUAGACUAGGUUUUAGUUAGGGAGAUAGGUUUAUAGUGUUUAUAAAUUUAAAAUAAUAAUUUUUUUAAAAAAUAGGAAAAAAGUUAGGAAAAAAAUAAUCAUAGAGAACUGAUGUGUGGCGUCUAGAACGUGCACCUUGAAAACCAGCCCUUCAAAAAAUUUCAAUAAAAUCCAUGAGUCCUUCCUUUGCCUUGCAACAUCUUCUUCCACAGGUCAAUAGUUGAAACUCUUUCCGGAUGAACGUUGAAUAAUGCUUGAGAAACUAGGUUUACACAUCGGGAAAAUGUCGAUGGAAUUCUCUAUGAGCCUUGAGAACCAAGUCAAAGCCGGUCCGUUAAGAAUUUCCACGAACAAUUAAUAGUAUACUGCAUCUUUCUCUUCGACGGUAAAGUGUGCUUGUCCCACGGUUAUAUUGGACAUGGUCAUGUGAUCACUAGGAUCAGAUUCGCCUGAGAAAGAGGGAUCUUUAGCAUAUAUGUAGGACGAACUCGGCCAUUUUUUGGCAAGGGUGUCUUCUGUUUUUCUUUGAGGACACGCUCUAGCUCAGGAGCCGAACUCGUUACAGGUGAAAUUUUGACGAGCCAUCCAGUAUUGUGUCCCGAAGAACUUUGAUUUUUUGAAUCGUUGCCUGGUUGGUUUGAUGUGUCUGUUGAUUAAGAUAUUCCAUUAGUUUUUGCGUCAAUGUCAUCGUGGUGGUGACAUCCACAACCGGAAGGAUAGUGCAUGUCCCUCUUCGAUCAUCGUCUCCAGCCAUCUCUGAUAUUUCCUGGCAUUGCUUUGUAAUUCCACUCAAACGACGCCAAUCGUUUCAUCUCUUAACAUCGCCCAAGAAACACUUUCUAUCCUAUUCAUCAUCUCCCGCAACACUCCUCUCUCUCUCUAGCAUCACCUCUACACUCCUCUCUCCGGGCCAGGAUUGCCCAUAUGUCUCCUUACUCCUCAAAGGUGCCCAUACCUCCUCAUAACUCCUCAGCAUCACCCACUUCUCCAUUUGUCGUGUUCUUGCUCGAAUCUUGAUCGUUCUUCGUUUUAUCGCAAUCGUAGUUGUUGUUGAGAUUUUUUUCAAAAAAGUUAAUUUGUUUUUAGUUUUUGUAAAAUCUAGCCAACUGUAGAGUUGGAAACUGUUAUUUUAAACAUCUAAUAUGUUUUAGACAAAAUAAAAUGAUUUUUCUCUUUGUAAACUAACAGCACAAAAAAUGCAAUUCGGAGCAAAACGACGAUAUUUCCAAGAAUAGUCAGCGAAACCUUAAUUCUCAAAACAGUCCAAAACAAUCUAAAGCACGAAACAGAACUUUUCACUUAACGUGUAAAGUAACCAAAUAUUAAUGACAUUUUACUUUACUUAGAGAGGAAUAAAGAAGAAAUUAAGAUAAUGAAAGAUUUUCGAAAGAGAUAAACUCGACUCUCGACAAAGAAAGGAAAAUAUCAGAGGAAAUAUGGAAACAAAGCAGAUGUGGAUCAAUGGCAAUAUGGUCGGCCUUGGAAGAAUAUAUAAACAAGGCUAGGCCAGAGAAAAAGGGGGCAAAAAAUUAGCUCUCGAAAGUCUAUGCACUAAAGAAACCUUAAGUUUUAUUUUUGUCUGUUUGCUAAUGAGCUGCAACCCACCUAGGAUUUCUAGGCUUAUGUGGUUAGUCUAGCGAACUUAGAUAGAUUUCGCUACUUUCGCUUAUUCGACUUCCGUUGUAAUUUUGCUAUCCAGAUCUCCUAGUAUAUAAGCAUUAAUGAUAUGUGAUGUCUAAAACGUGCACCUUGAACAAAAUUUUGGUUUGGGUUUAGUUUGGGUUUCAAGUUCAGGUUUUUUUGCUGAGGCCUAACCCUACCAACAUAAGAGAGUUUAAGUGAGGAAAUUUUAUUUAUCAAUUUUGUUUCCUAAGAUUAUCAUAUAGUUCUUCAGACAAGUGUAGAAAGGGCAGAAGAAAAGUAAAAUUAAUUCAAAUAUACAAUAAGCAUCAACUAACAUCGACUUAGAAACAAAAUUCCACAUUGACUUAGUGAACAUAUGCAUCCCAAUCCUAAAAUUGUAAACUCUAUGUUUCAUACGUUUACGAUUAGAUUAUAGGUCAAAUACAUAAGGACAAUAAUAUUUAUGUAUAAAUAUAAACUAGGUGUUUGCCCGCAAUUUUGCGGAUAGUUAUAUUAUAUAAAGAUAUAUAUCUUAACUUUACACUGUUAUAUUUUUUGAAUAAUAAUUAGAAAUUUAAAAUAUUUGGAUAAUCAAAUAUUUGGAUAAUCAAAAAUUUGGAUAAUCAAAAAUUUCAGUAUAUAUUUUUAGAAAAUAUGUGAAAUUUAAAAUAGUUCAAAAACAUAAACCUUAGUCAUUAAAAUUUUUUCUCUUACAGAAAAGAAUAUUAUAAUUAAUUCAGAUAAUUGGUGGUAAAAUUACUUUAUAUUUUAGUUUAACACAUGAAAAACCGAAAAUACUCUAGCUCUCAAGAGAGAGAAAAAAAAAGAGUGCAUUUUUUGUGUAACUUCAAUAUGACCAAUACAAUGAUCGUAGGCUUUUAUCAUGAAAGAUCUUUUGUAAACAGUUUUGUGUGGGCUUUAAAAACAUAAAAUUUAUAAUAAUUUCUUACCUACAAAUAUAAUUCUUUUAUAUAAUAAUAUAUAACCAUUGAAUUUAUUUUCUAUAAAAAUACUAAAGUAGUUUGUUUAAUUAUAUAUAACUAAUUGAUAAAAAUAAAGAAAUUGAUAUAACAUACAUAUAUAUAUAUAUAUAUAUAUAUAUUCUUUCUCUAAUUCUACAAUUAGUUACCAUAAAUCAUUAUUUGUACUAUCAUUUGUGUUAUUUGGUAAUUUGUACUAAUUAGUUCUAGAGUUACCUUUUAUUUUUAGAUCUGAUUAAAAAAAUAACUAAUAAAUUUUAACAACCAAUCAAAUUAUAACUAUUUUUAAAAAAUAAACCUAUUAAAGACACAUAAUCAAAAGUUUAUUAAAUGACUUCUCAAUUAAUAUAUGGUAGGAUUUAUCUCUUUAAAACCAAGGAUUAAUUUGGUUAAGUUAAACAUAAAAACAUGUAUUAGAAAAUGGUAGUUUAAGCAAUUUUCUCAUAAUUUGUCCCAAAUCACACUUUCUCACUCAUUAUUUUUAAUUUAGUGUUUAACAUAAAACUCACUAUUUUAUCAAACAUUAACUCAUUCAACCAAAUGCUUUUAAUUAAAACUAAUCAUAGUUUACAUAUCUUUUAAAAUUAUUGUUUUAAUUUAUUUUAAAUUAAAUUAAAACAUAUCUAUAUUAAUUAAAUCUAUUAACUAAUAAAAAAAAAUAUUUCAAUUUUUAAAUAACUAAAUGUCGUUAUUUUAGGCAUAUAUACUUAAUAUUAAUGUGAGAUCCAAUAUUAUAUGAAAUAAAAUGUUUUUUAUUUGUAUACAUUUUGUUAAAAUUUUAUUAUCGUACAUUUUAAAAGUUUAUUAUAGUUUAAAAAAUACAUCUCACUAAUAUUUUAAAUAAUUUUUUAUUACUUUCAAUUUACAUUAUAUUUUUCAUCUUUGACUUUAACAAUUGUAGAGAUGGUCAUUUUUAUUGAACUUCCUUAAUAAAUUUAUAUCACAUUGUCUUUAGAAAAUAAUUGGAAUUUUUUUAGAAUUAUAUAUUUGACUGUUUUGCAUUCAUUUGACACAUUUUUAUACUAUAUAUAUAGUGAAUAAGUGAAUUUAAUUAAUAUUAUUAAGUUUAGAUUAAUUAGUUUUCUAAAAUAUAUGAUUUAUUUUAUUCACUGCUAAUAUAAAGAUAAUAAAAACCGUUUUUCUAAUUGUUUCUAUAGUAUCAUAUGUAUUUAUAUGUAUCUUAUCAAUUUAUAUAAUGUAAUCUAGAUAUUUAAUUAUUUCUAUAAAAAAAUUAUGUUAAUUCAUCUAUAUUUAAGAUGCUAAAUUGUAUGUUUGGAAAGAUAGAUUAGAUUAGAUAAUUCUAUGAAUAUUUUCAUUUUAAAAACUUUCAUUAAAUAAAUUAAAAAUUAUCAACCAAUCAAAUUAUAACAAUUAAUCUUAUAUAUUAAAAAAGAAGUCAUGACUUCUUUCAUGUGUGAUUUUUUUUUUUUUUGGACCAUCACUUAGAAAUCUUAUUAAAUGUAUUUUAUUAAGAAUAAUAAUACAUAGAAUCUUUAAAAUACUUUAAUCAUAAUAUCUUUUGAUAUCUUUUUAUUUAAAAUAUAAAUAUAUUUAUUUUAAAAAUCUAACAAAUCUGUUUUAAAAGAUUUUUACAAGAUCUUCAUUUUCGAAAUUAUAUUUAAAUAUUUUUCAUUAAUUUCGAAAUUAGUUUGAAAUAUUAUUAUACAUUAAUAAAUUCACUAAUCAUUUAUAAAAUAAAAAAUAAAAAAUUCUGUAAUAUUUUAUAUAUUAUAUAAUCAUGAUCAAUCAUAUUAAAAGAAAAUUAUUAUAUUGAGCUAAGUAUAAUAAAAUUGUAUUAAAUUUAUAAAUUUUAUUUUCAUAAGUAUAAAAUAUUUAUGUUCAAAAAUAAAAUCUAAUAUGUUGGUAAGAUGGAUUAAGCAAAAUAUAUAAUACAUGUAUAAAAAUUAACAUGUAUUUCUUUAAAGCUUAUAAUAUAAAAUCUUUGUCACUACUUUAAUCAUAAUAUAUUUUCAUUUUAAAUAAAAUAUAUAUUUAUAUAUUAUAUUUAAAAAUUCUAAUAAAUCUGUGUAAAAUUAUUUUAACAAUAAUUUAAUAUAUUUUAAGUUAUCGUUUAUAAAAUAAAAAUAAAUAAAUUAUAUCCUAUUUUACCCACUUUAUAGUCAUGAUCAUGUUAAAAUAUAAUUAUUAUACUUAAAUAAAUAUGAUAAAAGUAAAUUCAAUUGAUAAAUUUAUAAAUUUUAUUUUCAUAAAUAUAAAUUAUUUAUUUUAAAAAUAUAAUAUGAUGAUUGAACGCCUUAAAAUUAACAAACCUUAUAAUACAUGUCUAAAAAUUAACAUAUCUUAGACUUUUGUAUAUACAAUAAUAUAUUAUCUAAAAUGAAUAAGCAUAAAAAAUAUUAGUAAAAAGAAAUACAGCUUUGAAACACGGAUCAGAAUUUAGCAUAAAUUAAAUACAAAAUAAUUUUCAAAUAUGUUUUCUCAUGAAUAUAAUAAUUUGCUUAAUAACUAAAUGCAAAUACAAUAAGAUAAAUAUAUAAUAAGAAGUGAAAAUACAUACGGUUUUAACCAAAUGAUUAAUUAUAACAUGUAAAUUAUAAAAUUAUUAUAUUUGAAAUAGUUAUAUAAACAUUUAAGUACUAGUGGUUGGCCCGCCCUACGGGCGGGUUAGUUUACGCUAAAACUAUUGUAUAUGAAAAUAUAUAUUAAUUUUAUAAAUUUUUUAAAAUUUACUUUAAAAUAAAAUAAUAAAUAUAAUAUUUUUUUAAAAAAAAUCAAAUUGUAUUUAUUAAUAUUUUUUAGUUUGAGUUGAAAAGACCUCUACCAUUUUUUGGUUAUAGAUUACAAAAUUAUGAAAUUAAAAAAUUAAGAAAAUGUAAUGAUUUAUAUUUCUAUUUUAUUUCUAUUUCACUUUGAUAUAGUUGAAGAAAAUCUAAAGUAAGAAUAACAUUUUUAAAAAAAAUUCUAAGAGUAUAAUUAUAAUACUAUUACAAUUAAUUAUCGUCUCCCGAUUAUAAAUUAAUCCACUUCCAAGCUAAAUCAAUUGAAAAUAUAAUGUAAUGUAAUAAAAUUAUAAAAUGUUAUAUUUUAAUGUAAUAUAUAAAUAGUUUCAAUAAUUUCACAAAUAACAAUUAAUCUAUAUUAUUUAACAACAAAAUGAUGUUUUAAAACAAACCAAACCAGAACCAAAGUGGACCCAAUAUUUAUUAGUCAGUUUCUACUAUUGUUGUCCAACUGGAACAAAAACAUUAACAGACAAAUUGAAAUUCAUAAAUAGUCAGUUUCAUUGUUCAUUGUCUAAACACAACAUGAAACACUUUGGUUGCCUCUAUACCAUUUGGUUUUCGGUUCGAUUAUGGUUUUUGUUGGUUUUCCGGUUCUAAAGAUAUAGGUUACCGUUCAAUUAUUUAUGAAUUUCACUUUCGCUAUUUUGGUUUUUGUUCCAGUUUGGAUAACAAUAGUAGAAACUGAAUAAUAAAUUUUGGGUCCAUUUUGGUUCUGGUUUGUUUGUUUUUUCGGAUAAUUCUAGAUAAAUCGGGAAAUUGGAGAUCUUUGUAUUUUUCAGAUAAAAUAUCAGAUAAUUAAAAAAUAUUCUACAUUCUUUUGGGUUAUUCAGAUAUUUUAGUUACUUUGGAUAAAAAAUAUUUGAUUUUUUUCGAGUAGUUUGAUUUAUAUGUAAUAUUUUUAGAAUAUUUGGUAAUUUAUAAACUUAAUGUAAUUAAUAUUUUAAGCAUAUGAAAUGAAAUUUAAAUUUUCUGAUUUGAUUUUUUGAUUCAAUUCCGGUUUGGUUUUCGAUUCUCGUUUAUAUACCUAGACAUAGUUGCUUUAAGCUUUUACACAAACACACAAAAGAGACUAUUUGAAAAUAAAUAUCUAGAAAGUAUAACAAUAAUCUGUAUGCAAUGGGUAUAAAAAAGAAAUGCGGGCUUUCCUCCCUCAUGAACUAACAAUACUACAAUAACUUAAAGACUCUUCUUUUGGAAUAGAUGGAUCUGGUCUUCCUCAAGUACUUCAAGCAUUACCCAAAAGAGUAAACAUCAGACUUCCCAGUCAAUUGUUAUCUUGUACUGGUCUGGAUCAAGAUAAUGAAUCUUCCUAUACCGUCAUACUCACACGUGUCUGGUCAAGAUCUGGACGUCUUAAACAAUCCAAAUUCUGAAACUUUGUCCAUGAAAUUCUCAUCGAAGAGAAUGUUAUCAUACUUCAUAUCGCGGUGGAUGAUACCUCUUGCGGAAUCUGUAUGGAUAUAGUGCAGGCCUCUAGCUGCACCAAGACAUAUCUCAAGCUUCUGUCUCCAGCUCAACCUUGGGCGAUCCAAGUCAUGCACAAUAGUCCUCUUAUUGUUCUCACUGCAAUGCCCGAUUAAAGAAACCAAAUGCAUGUGUAUGAACUGGGACAACAUUUCGAUCACUGUCCUGAAUUUAUUGAUGUAAAGCUAUAGCUGGUUAGUAUAUGUAUUUGAAAAAACCAUUACCUACUGUGGUUGAAGAUUCUUACGGUCCAAUCAGAUUGAUUGCUUCUGGUGGUAGACCAUAUAAUUAAAAAGCCUACUUUCCUCGUUUGCCUUGUAUCUCAAGGACCUCCUGCACUCAAAAACAGAGAACAGUUCGAUUCAAUUAAUUUUUAACACAUUGAGUCAUUCGUUAAUGCAAAAGUGGAACUUUUUGUGGAAGUAAUUCUUGAUUGUAUUACUGAUGAAGCGCUCAGGUGCUUAAUUUCAUUUUCUCCACGUCCCUAAUACUCGAUACCACAUCAUCAUCACACCUGAAAAAAGAGGAAACUUAAAAGAUUAAUAUGUGCCUCCAAAAAUUCAUAUAAUUCAGAGACUCAUGAAGAAACAAGACUUCAAAUGAUGCUAGCCUUCUUUUGACACUAAACACAGUUGGAGUGUUGUCAAGCAGUGGGUUUCCUUUGGGAAGUUCCUCUUCUUUGGCGUUUAGCUCUUCAUUUGCUGCUGCUUUUCCUGGAAAAAUGUAAAUAAUAAAUAUUAAGAUACAACUUUCAUAUGUCAAUGUGUUUAGAAAAAACUAACGUAGUCAUUUUGUUAUAAUUGUAAUCUGAAAUCAUCUCACAGACAAGAACACAUACCUUCCUGAGCCUCUUUAUUUAUUUAUCUGGUCUAGUUCAGCCAUAAGAGAUCCAGUCUCAUCCUCAUCAUCGUCACUUUCUUUAUAUUUAAGAAAGACAACCAGAUCGUAAGAUAACUCAAAGGAAAUUACAAGUCUCAGUUGAUAUAAGUCAUCAAAAACUCUCAAAAAGGAUAACACUGAAGCAAUUGCAUAUUCCCAAACCAGGGCUCUGAGGAAAAGCAUUAAAUCUCAAGCAAAGAAUCUUUAGAAGUUUAAAGCACAAAAGAUGAACUGCAAUAGGAAGGAAAGAAUGGAAAAUAGGUACCUAUCAUCAUCAUCAGAAUCAUCUUCAGAGUCCCUUUUAGAGCCUAAAAGCAGGAUAUCAGAGUUAGAAUUUAGAAAACAUAUAAUCAAACUACUUGUAUCCCGUGACAUAUAAUCAAAUAAACAUAUAAACCUUCGAGUAAUAGCUGAUUCCCUCUCCUGUAGUAGCUUUCAACUAAUGACAAAAAAAAAACACAUUAGUGAAACGAAGGAAGAAUCUUUACAAAAUCAUAUUGAAAAAAAGGUUUGAAAUUUAUCGUCUCACUCAUCACAGUGAGAUUUUUCUUUGGAAGAAAAGUUUCUCCUCUCACGCUCUUCAAGUCAUCACGAAGUUUCUUCUUCUAUAGAACAUCAAGAACUGAUCUCGGUGGUGUUUGAGCAACGGCCUGCUUUCAGAUUUGCGAGAAGAACGUAGGAAGUCGACAUAGUGGGCGGUGAUGCUUGGCAGAGUAUAAUCUUUGAGAAAUCUUAGCGGUGGAGCUGUUCAUGGCAUCUAACGGAGACAUUUAUAGUCUGAAGUCGUACCGAACUCAAACAUGCAUCGCUUACCUUCGUCGCCAAUUAUAAUACAUAAAUGAGGCGGAGUGGGAGGAGAUGUAUGGUGGUGUUAAAUGCUCAUUUUAAUGGUGGACUUAAAAAACGAAUCUGUUACCCAAAGUUUUCAUCGGAUGGAAGAGAAGCGAAAGGAUUAGGGCGUCUCAGUCGAGGAUCAUAAAAACUUAGUCAAACACGGGCCCACGCAUCUGAUACUUAUAAAGACCAAAUUAAAAUAAAAGCCCAUUCACCGAGAGACGAAAAUUUUAGGAGUCGAAGGUUAAGAUGCCACGUGGUGCAAAACGCCCACCUCUAAAAAAAAGACGUGGAGGGCUAAGGUGAGAGAAAACUCUGUUUUUAGGAGUCGAAGGUUAAGAUGCCACGUGGCGCAAAACGCCCACCUCUAAAAAAAGGACGUGGAGGGCUAAGGUGAGAGAAAACUCUGUUUUAUUAUUAUAGAUAUGAUUAAUGUUAAAAAAAUAUCACUAAUGUUUAAAAAUAAUAAUUUAUGUAUAAAAAAGUAAAAACAAACACCCGCGCGGUUGCGCGGAUCAAAAUCUAGUUAAAGAGUUAUUAUAUGAGAGACACGUUAUCAGAAAUCACUAAAGUGACUUCUCAAUUAAUAUAUAUGAAGAUAUUAAUCUACUAUAUAUUAAUUUUGGAGCAUUACAACUUUUGAGUGUAGCCAUAUUGACUUACAAUCCUUCGCAUAUAUAUGACAAUUAAUGAUUUUGAAUAAUAAAGAUUUGAUAAUAUUUUUUGUAUCCUCAAUAAUUUUUGUUUAAUUUAUAUUAUUAAAAAAUUUAAACAAUCACAGUAACCAUAUAAUAAAAAAAUCUAGAUUUUGUUUCUUAUAUGUUAUAUUUAAAAAAAUUUAAAACGAUUAUAAAUUACUAAAACUGUUAAAAGUCUUACAAUGAAAAUUUUGUGAACAACGGUUUUAGUUUUUUGUUAUAAAAAGAUACAAAUGAUCACAAAACAUAUCAAUAUAAAGUAUCAUUUAAAUAGAUAUUCAAUCUGAAUAUCUAUUACCGAGCUUAGAACUUUAGGGUUUAGUUAUAAUCUGAACGAAACCAAAAUCCUAACUAUAAUCCAAAGAUAUCAGAAAUUAGUAUAAUAUGUUAAUGUUUUUUUUAUAUAUGUUAAGGCAAUUUAGAUAUUUUAUAGUUCGAAAGAUUUUUGUAGUUUAUUUUAUUUGUUAUCUUGAAUAUCUUUUAGUUAAUUUAGAUAGUUUAACUAAUUUUAAUUAUAUUUAUGAAUAAUUUUAACAUUUUGAAGCUUUUUUCAAUUUUUGAGGUUUAAAAAUAUAUUUUGGGACGAUUCAGAUAUUGGUUACAAUCCGGUCCGAACCGAACCCGGCCUAAUUAUUAGUAAAACCCGAGUGGGACGUAUAAGCAUAAUAUCAAAAUUUUGAAAAUCUGAAUCAAUUGAACCGAAACCGACGGACCCCGAACGCCCAGACCUAUGAUACAUUUAUAUACAAACAUUUGUAUUCUUCAUUUUACAAUCGAUAAAGAUUAUAAUAUUGUAAAAUGUUAUAACCAUUAAAUAAAUAAAUAUUAGUAUAAAAAUCUUACUCCGCGCCGAUUAUCAUCUAGUAAUAUUAUUUGCCAAAAUCAAUAUACAAGGACAUAAAUAUUAAUUCAUAAAUAUAUUAUAUUUAUGAUUUUACCCUAAAAAUUUUUAAAACUAAAAUAAUUUUCUAGCCAGGUUUUUUGUUAUUUUCGUGUUAUAGGGGAGAAAAUGGUAUUUGAGAAUAUUUUAAAAAAUAAAAAAAACAGCAGAAAGUAGAUAAUUGGUUCGAAAUGUCGUUUUAAUAGGUUCAGCGCCAACAAUCAGUCAGGAAACUAUAACUUCACCUUCCAUUCUCUCUAUCUUCUUUUCAAUCAUCUCCAGAAUGGAAUAAACAAUUAGGUAGUUUCGAUUCGAUGCUGCUCAGCUCAUGUCUUCUUACACCAUCAAAGAAACAAUGGCGACUAAAGAUGAAGUCCAGAACGACCCACUGUUGCAGGCAUCAGAAAGUGACGGUCACGAAGAGUUCAACGGAGCUUCUUUCACCGGAGCGGUACUCAACCUGGCAACAGCGAUCAUCGGUGCUGGUAUCAUGGCUUUGCCCGCCACGAUGAAGAUCCUCGGACUUGUUCCCGGAAUCGUGAUGAUCCUUCUCAUGGCUUUCUUGACCGACAAGACUAUUGACUUCUUGCUUAGUUUUAGCGGAGUCGGGAACGCUAGAAGAUCGUACGGUGGUUUGAUGGAAGAUUCUUUCGGCAAAACCGGAAGGAUUGUGUUGCAAGUUGCUGUUCUUGUUACCAACAUUGGGGUUUUGAUCGUUUACAUGAUCAUCAUUGGUACUUGAUCUUUGAUACUAAUCAGAGCUUUUGAUCUUUGGCAUUUGUUUUAACUCUUGUUUGGCUUGAAGGUGAUGUUUUGGAGGGUAUGCUUGAAGGAUGGUUUGGAGAAAGCUGGUGGGACAAGAGAAGUAUUGUUCUUCUCUUUACAACUCUUUGUGUCUUUGCUCCAUUGGCAUCCUUCAAGCGCAUUGGUUAGAACAAUGUGUUGCAUACUUCUCUUAAAAUGAAAUGGAGAGUGUAUCCGGUUGAUUUAUUAUGGCUUCAUUGCAGAUACUUUGAGAUUCACGUCUGCCCUAUCACUUGUUCUAGCGGUUGUUUUUCUAGUCAUCACUGCGGGAAUCGUCGUUACAAAGUUUUACAGAGGUGGUUUGAUGAAGCCAAGACUCUUCCCAAACGUCACUGACUUGUCAUCGGUCUGGAAACUCUUCACCGUUGUUCCUGUGCUUGUCAACGCAUACAUUUGUCAUUCUAACGGUAACGCUUCUUUCUCACUAAAAGGAUUAAACAGGAACUCAUGGUUUUUUGAUGUUUUCAGUCCACAAUAUACAGAACGAGCUUGAAGACUCCAUUCAGAUCAAAGCUGUUGUGCGUUCAGCUCUAGUGAUGUCCUCCUCUGUUUACGUAAUGACAAGCUUGUUCGGAUACCUCUUGUUUGGUGAAUCUACUCUUGAUGAUGUUCUUGCAAACUUUGAUACCGAUCUUAAGAUCCCUUUCGGUCCGGUUCUCAGUGAGGCAGUCAGACUCAGCUAUGCAGCUCAUCUCAUGCUUGUGUUCCCUGUUAUCUUCUAUCCUUUGCGCGUUAACCUGGACGGUCUCUUGUUCCCUACGGCUACUCCAUCACUUACUACCUCUAAUAUGAGGUUUGGCUCCAUCACUGCCGGUCUCAUUGCUGUAAUCUUUGUUGGUGCAAACUUCAUUCCAAGCAUCUGGGAUGCUUUCCAACUCACUGGAGCUACAACUUCUGUCUGCAUCGGUUUCAUAUUCCCUGCUGCUGUCAUCUUGAAGUAAGUCCCCAUUGUUUCUCAUAACAGACUGGUUUUGGAACCUAAUGGAUCAUUUUACCUGAGGGUAUCUCUUCAGGGAUCGUCAUAACCGAGCAACAAAGAUGGACAAGACUAUAGCCAUUUUCGUGAUUGUCCUUGCGGUUUUCUCCAGUGCAGUUGCCAUUUACAGUGACGCUUACGCCUUAGUCAAGAAGAACAAAUCCACAUUUCCAAUGUGAGCAGAAUGGUUUUGUUUGGUUCUCUUACUCUAAGAAAAAAAAAAAACUUGACAACUGUAAGAAUGACCCCUGUGAUUUUGAUCUUUAGAUCUUGUUCAGCUCUAGAUCAAAUAAAAAUGUCAGAAGCGUCCAUGUCUAGAUCAUAUUUGGCCCUAGAACAAUAUCCAAAUUAAAAUACUGUGUUGAACUGAUACAAUUUGUCACUGUGAAUCUUUAAGAUACAGACAAAAAAACAGCAACAAGUGUCUAUUAGGAGUCGUUGGGACAACUCAAAACAAAACAAAAGAGUUAUAAAGAAUAAAAGGUUUACUUUUAGGAAUUUGACUUAUCUCCAUCGCUGGAGUCAGCCGGAGAAGGGAAGCAUUGGCAAUAUCCAUUAAUGCUAUUUCUUGAACUGCUCUGAUCUGAUCACUUUUCUCAAACUCUUUCUUCUUCAGUGCAGCGAAGAGAAGUUAAACAAAGAUGAGAGAUGUUACAGUCACAAGUGAAUAUAAAUCAGUGCAAAAGCUAAAAAAAAUGUUAAAAAACAUAUCUCAAGUAAGCACUGCACCUGAUAAACAUAAUAGAAAGCUUCUGACUAACUGUCUAGCUAAGAAAACUCAGAGGAGACGGGUAGUGUGCACUCAUCAAGAAGUGCCUCAGAGCCAAUGGAUGGUAACUUUCUGUGAUCUACACAAGAUUGAAACAAAAAGACGGAUCAGAACCUGUCAACAAUUCUGCGUUUAGGCCAUGCGAACAAUGAGUUACUAUAUUUGGAAAGAAAAUAGAACAAUACUCAACGGGUUCUCCACACUCUCAUUAGCACGUAUGAUUAUAAGCAAAUUAACUUCAUAACCUAAAUGCUUCAAGUAUCAACGCAAACCCAUGAUAUGUGCAAAGGCUCAAGCUUUCUUUUCUACGAAUCUAAGUUACGAGAGAUGGGAGAAUUGAAAGCAUGCAUCUAGACCUGUAGAGAACGUCGAAGGAGACGACGGAGGCGCGAGCAUGGCCGACUUUUCGCGUGCCCCAAUGUGAAAUGUAGAAUCUCCUAUGGAUUCCUAGAGUCUCAUAUACCCCUAUUUCAUAAUUAUUUUUUUGAUCAAAAUCCAAACUUUCAAAUCAAAUCCUUCCAGGUCAUCAAAACUAAACCCUAACCCUCCCCUAUAAAUUAGUGAACCCAUGGACAAAUAUUUAAAUUCAGAAUAAAAUAUUUUAAAAUCAUUUUUAAUCAUAUUUUGAUGAUUUUUUUGAAAAUAUGGAAAACAACGUUUUUGGAUUUUUGAAAUAUUUUUAUCAAAUUCUAUAAAUCAAAUAAAAAAUAUUAACGUUUCAAUUUUAAUUUUAUGAUUUUUAGUUUGACAUAUAAAAUUAAAAGAACAAAAAGAUCCUUUUGAGAUUGUGUUAUGAGAUAUAAGGGUAUGAGAAGAUUUGUCUCUCUUUGCGGUUAGAAAAUGUAGGAACUGUGACCAAGAUCUAUAGGUGGGAUCCACUCUGUUUCUCCUUGAGCCAUCUUUUUUUUAAUGCUAGUUUAUUAUGAUAUUACAAUUAUGAAAAAAAUUAUAUAGACGAUUCGACAACCAACAAUACUACUUGCCUUAUGAGGAUUUAUGCAUAACUGCAUCAUGCCUUAUGAGGAUUUAUGCAUAACUGCAUCACCUCAGCCGUCCUAUGAAAAUCCACGUUUGGCCGAAUUUAUUUGCGCCAUGUUAAAAAUCCCUUGUAAGCUUUUUUCCGUAAUUUGUAUAAUUGUUUAAUAAAUCGUUUUUUCCGGGAAUUGAAAGUGGACCUCAUGUAAUAUGCAAAAAUUUGCAUAGAGAUUCGAACCCAAACAUGGAUGUAGAAACCUUUAAACAUUAACCAUAUGAUAUAGUGCUUCCACUAAACCAUCUAUCUAAGAUCCUGUUUCAAAGAAAAACUAAAACUUUAAAUAUUUGAUUUCAAUUAUAUACUCCAACAAAAGUUUAUAACUUUAAAUUUUAAAGUUUUGAAUAGUUAAACUUUAAUUUGAGAUUUUAUAUUUUAAAGUUUUAAAAAAAUUAUCUGUUUUCUAAAUAAUCUUGUUAAGUUUCAAUAUUAUCAUUUUAGUUCUUAUAAUUUCUAUAUUUCAUUAAUAUUUUACAUAUAAAAUACUGAUUUGGUUUGCAACUUAUAUCUAACUAAUAAAUAAAUUUAUAUGUCAUUUUAAAAUUUAUUAACUGAUCAUAUAUAAAAACAUUACAAAAUAAUUUUAUUGAGUAGUUUGGUAUUUUAUUUGUAAGUAAUGAUUUAAUUUAAGUUUUUCAGUUAUCAUUUAUCAUAAGAUAGCAUUUUUCUAACCAAUAUUAUAACUAUUAUAACUUUAAUCAAUUUUUAAUUAAUAUCGAAAACUAAAGUGAAUAUAUAAUAAGAUUUAAAAAUACAUUGUAGGUUUUAAUAUUGGAAAGUAACACCCCAAAUCUCAAAUUUAGGGGUUUUCCAACCUUAAAAAUAUGGCUCCUCUUGAAAAUGCUCUAAGUUGGACUAUGGGUUUGUUCAUGGAUAUGAUCAACUGGAAAAAUAGACUGUUUUCAAAUAUCAAAAUUGUAAUCUCGUUACAGAAUUUUCUUCUUUUUUUUUUAAAUUAGAAAUUUUGUUUAUGUUGAAAUAACACUGUCAAGAUAUGUUAUAGUUUACUAAUUAAAUACAGGAUUAGAGUGAGCUUUGGGUUCUAUAUAGAUUCAGUUGCUCCACCACGUAGACCAAAUUGUUUAAAAAUUGCCUCAAUUUUUUUUUUUUUUGGUGUAAAAUUGCCUCAACUUCUUGUUCAUUCUUUUAUUAGAAAUGAUAUAAAGGAGUGGGAUCUUCAAUUUUUACGAGAAUAUAUGCACCCCGAAGAUUUAACUUUGAUCUUUGGUGUUUCCCUAUGUCUGACCGAUAGGGUUUUGUAAUCUGCGGUUUCUAAUUUUCUUAGUGGUAUAUACUCUUCUGCUUUGGUGUGUUUGCUUUGUUCUAAAUUUUCUCAGUGCAUUACAAAUAACAAUCUUGGUUUUGUGGCUUCGCUUUGGUUCGGGGAGUGCCAAUUCCGGUUUUGAUUGGUUGGUUAAAGCAACAAUUGCAAAGUUUUGGUUUAAGGCAAGUCCUUUAUGUUGCGUGACAGUGAAUACUUUUGUGUUGAGUAGUUUAGUAAUGCGUUCUUUCCAUGGUAAUUUAUUAGCUAUGUGCUCUUUUUAACGACGCAAGGCAACAGCUAUCUUUAAGGAGAAUCUUCACACCACUAUUCUGGUGUUUCUCCUCUGGUGGGGAGGUUUUGGCUUUGCUUCUCUUCUCUGAAAUUGACACUCUUUUUACAGCUGAACCUUUCGUUGUCUUUAACUUGGUAGUCUGUGGAACUCUUGUGCUAGCCUCCACGCUUUAAGGAGAAACAAAAUCUAGAGUCACCUUUAUACUCUUAAACAGUUUGCAUAACAUUUGAUGAGAUGUUUCUCAAAAGUCCAUGGCUUUAUAUCUGUAUAUGGAAAAACAUACAUCGACCAUAAGCAAAGUAAAUAAGAUAGAUUUUGAAUAAGGGAACUCUUUUGUUAGGUCAUAGAGCUUGUUCCAACGUCAAAUUAUGAUUCACAUUGUCUGUCUUUUAUGCAUUUUGGUUUGUUUUGUUUUGUUGAAGAUGAAAGUGUAAUGAGCAUUCGUCAAUCGUUUCUUCUCACGUAUAUUAUGACUAUCCGAGUUAAAGAUGCUAAUUAACCAGAGUAAAACUUUGAAAGCUGAUUUAGAUUUUUCAGAGAAGAGAACUCUGUGUAGUAAGAAGCAUUUGAGAUUGAAGAAAAGAACUAGUUCAUUAACAGUUUUGGUUGCACUAGGAUUCCCAGAGUUAAAAGAUGCUUUUUGGUUGCUUACCACAGUAAAAAGAUUGAGACUUGAGUUUGCAAGAGAAAAGAACAACUUUUUAACAGUUAGAAACAUACAGUAGUAAAACUUUGAAAGCUGCUAUUCAAAUGCUAAAUUAACCGCAGUAAAACUUUGAAAGCUGGUUUAGAUUUGAGACCUGAGUUACUAAACUUUAUAAUGAACAGAAACAACAUAUACUAAACAGAGACUUUAAACAGGAGACAUACUAGACCUUCAUGAAUAUAAAGUACGUACUAAACCUUAAUGAACGGACACUAAACUGAAAGAAGUCUGUCGAUUUCUUCAACCCCAAGACUUUGGUCAGAGUUCUCUUAACGGUCUUUGUCUUCCAGAACCUCAACUUCAAAGGCUUCUUGUCUGAAACAGCAACAUCAUCCGUCGCUAGUUUCUUCUUGGAACCUCUUCGUCUGAUUCUCAACUUGAACAGGUUCGACAGAAACGAGUUACUUGUCUUCUCCUCUGUUGUCUUCUCAUCCUCUUCUUCAACUUGUGGACGAGGCAAGAAGGGAUGAAGCAACAACUCAUGCGCGCUUCCUCUCUCCUCAGGGUUCCUCGAGAAACACGUUUGGAUAAAGUCCUUUGCAUCACAAGGAACCGUUUCAGGUAUCUCUGGAGAUUUACCAGAGAGGAGACGAGUAGCGAUCUCAUCUAGUUCGAGGCCUUCCCAUGGAAUCACGCCCGUGUACAUCUCCAGAACCAAACACCCCACCGACCACAAGUCUAGAGACACGUGGGCGAUGCCGUCACGGACCGACUCGGGCGACAUGUAGAUCGCAGUCCCAAGCCACGGGAAAUUAAUUUCCCAACACAGGGGAACCUCUCCUAUCUCUAACGCGUUGCCGAAAUCACAAAUCUUGACCUCGUAUGAAUUUUGUCUCAAAGAGGAAGAAGGGAAGACGAGUAUGUUGUCUGGUUUGAUGUCGCAAUGAACGUAGCCAUGGUCGUGAAUCGAGACCAAACCUUCGAGAACCAUCCGUGUGAAAUCCCUGAUCAACGGUUCAGGCAACUUUCUGUCGGCGUAAUUGUUCAUGAAAGCGUGGAGACUACCUUCGGAAGCAAACUCGAGUUGUAGUUUGUGGAGUUUCUCCCCGAAUCUGCUGAAACUUUGUUGGAGAGAGUCUCCGAGACAUGUGACGAUCCUGGGACAUCCCUUGAGUUGGAGAAGAACGUGGAACUCUCUUUGGAGAGCGUUGUAGUCUUCUUGGUAAGAGUUCUUUACGGCAGAGAGGUAGAAAGAGUUGUCGUCGGGAUUAUUGUAGCGGACGAGAUUAACAAAACCAUAAGCACCUUUGCCUAGUAACUUGACGAAUUCUUCUUUCGUUUGCAUCUUUUCAAUCGGGUUUUGACACAGAAUCGUUGUUCGGAAACGUUGAGAGAAUUAAAAAUAGGAAACUGUGGCGAAGGAGAAGUGAUUUCAGAGUGUUAUAUAGAGAGUUGGGGUUCAGUUAAGUCGGUGUUGCAGACACACGGAAAAAGGAAAAUUGAAUAACAUAAUUUCCUUUUCUGAGAUACUUCAAAAAGGAAAUUCGAAGCGCUGGCCAACGGUUGAAAAAAGGAAAAGAAUUCGAAUUUUUGGUCAUUUAUAAUUAAAAUGUCCAAAUUUAUAACAAUAAAGAAUUUGUCCACGAUUUAGUUAAUGCUUUCAUAUAAAUUUUUAUUCAUGUCGUUUAAUGCUUAAAAUGUAGUUUGGAAAAAUAUAGGAUUAUAUUUAUUUUCAAAAUUUUAAAGCAGAAAAUGGUAUUUGUUUUGAAACUUCCUCAUUAAACAUAAAUGCUGACAAUGUUAAAAGAACAUAGUGUAUUUGUGACAUCUAAAAAAAACUAUAGAACUUCUAGUGGAAAAAUGUUUAAAAUAGUGACUAAACUUUUUGGCUAUAAAUUUGUUAAGCAUGACAAUUUACCUGAAUUCAAAAACAUGUUCACUAGAUCAAAAUAACCAAAACCGGACCAAAACUUUCAAAUAUUUGGAUACUUCUUAUACUUUUAUAUUCAAAAUAAUCAAACCAAAAAUUAAAUAGACAUCUAUAUAAAAAUAAUUUGAGUCGUUUGAUAUAAUUCGAAUCAUCCUAAUUACUCAAUAUUUUACUGAAUCAAACGAGACCUCGGAUCACAAACAAUUUCUAGUUUUACUAUCUAAACUAGUCCAAAAACGAAACUAUCCGAACUUAUUCAAACCAAGAAGUUGGCAGUUCCUAAAAAUACCUGUUCAAAAUAUCUGAUACAUGUAAUAUCUCACACGAGCCGAAUCGACACCCGAAAUGCCCUAGUCUAAUUUUGUAUUUGAUUUAAAAAAAUCUAACUUUUAAUACACAAAAAAAUUCAGGCUUUGUUUUAGAAAUUUGAAAGAUUUAAUUAAAAAUUGUUGCUAUAACUAAAAAUGUAGUAAUAUUAUAUAUAUAUACUUAUAUAUGAUAUGUAUUAGUUAAUAUUUAGGAAAUUAACAAAUAUGAUAAAGCAAUAAACUGAUACAAUUAAUUAGAUUUAUAAAAUGAAAAUAAAAAUAUCUUAUGUUAAAGAUUUAUUGUUAAAUAGUGUUUUUGGAAUUAUUUUCAUACUUUAGUAGUAUAUCAUGACUCAUUUAAAUCAUAAUGGAGAUGAUGUAAGGGAAAUUCUAUCAAAUAGCUAUUUUUAAGUUUUUGUCACAAAAAUAGUCCUCACGAAAGAAAAUGAUCAAAAUAAUCUUUUUUUUUAUUUUAAAAAUUUUAAUAUUUAUUUUUAUUUUUCAAAAUUUGAAACCCUAUUCCCAAAACCUCACCCCUUAACUCUAAACCUUAAUUCUAGAUUAGUUAACCCUAGGAUAAAAAUACAUUUUUAUCAUUUAGUAAAACUUAUUUCGAUCAUUUUCUUCGUUAGAGGUUAUUUUUGAAAAAAAAACUUAAAAUGACUAAUUUGAACUGAAUAUAUAAAAUAAAUAUAAAAAACUUCAUUAGAGGCUAUUUUAUUCAUGAGGAUUUUUGUGAAUAAACUCAAAAUAAAGCUAAAUCGAUAUCAGUUUGAACCUCAUGAGUCCCUCUUAAAGUGUUUUUCAAAUAUCAAAUACCUUAAAAUUUGUUUGAAUGUGGUAAGAUGAUCCAGUAUACUCCUCUUAGUGUUUUGUUAUCAGUGAAAUCACUGAAUGACCAGAUAAUAUCGUAAUUUGUUGGCUGGAGUCAGCUUAUUAUAAGUUUUGGUUCGAUCCUUUUAGAAAUAGUAAAUGUCGGUUCGGUUCAGAUCGAAUCGGUUUGGUUCAACAAAACAAAUCAACACCUGAGUCCCCCCCCACCACCACCCAAACGCCUCCAUAAACCUCAUGUGCUUUGUUCAGAGGAUCUCGUCUUCUUCUCUUUCUAAUCGAAAAUGGGAACGUUGGGACGAGUAAUCUACACUGUGGGUAACUGGAUUUGCGGGUCUGGGCAAGCUCUAGAUCGCAUCGGUUCUCUUCUUUAAGGGAGUCACCGCUUGGAAGAACACCGUGAGCCACAUUCAAACCCUAGAUCCAAAUCCACAUCUCUAAUUUGUCGCUUACAAGAAAAGAUCUGUUCAUAUUCGAGAAAUUGGUGGUCUAAUUUAGGCUCUCGUUUUCCAUUGGUUGUUGAUGAGUGUGUUUGACAUCUUAUGUUACCUGCGGACAAACAUAUAUCAAUUACCAUUUCGAUUAAAAACUGUUGAACCAUGACAGAGAUCAACAUUGCAAUACUCUCGGAUUACAAUAGACAAUAACAACCGUAAUUUUCAGAAGAAAAAAAAAGAAACUGAAAACGAAGAUGGAGGGCAGAGAGAUAACCAUUUAGGGAGCUUCGGAACGCGAGUAUGCUAUUGAAGCUAUCAAAGUAACUUCUCCAUUACUCUAAGCGACUAUGUGAUAGAUUCCCUAGAAAUUAUCUGCAUAGAGCAAGACUCAAAGUUGGAGUUAUACUUCACUUGUCAUUAUGUAAUCAAGACAGGAGGUGUGUGUUUCCAUUGAUUCUCGAGGUUCUACAAAAAAAUGGUGUAAAGACAAAUGACGGAGUUGUUCUUGCAGUCGAGAAGACUAUCACGUCACCGUUACUGGUAAACUCUCCAUGUGAGACUUUUGGUGGGUUCUGCUCUUUGCUUUUUUAAAGUCUCUCCUUCUUUUUUUCAGAAGCCGGGCAGUCUGGAGAAAAUCAUGGAAACUGAUGACCAUAUAUGUUGUGCAAUGACUUGUCUGAUUGCUGAUGCAUGUAAUACUUGUUGAGCACGCACGAGAGGAGACUGAAGUGAGACCGCUCUCUGUUCCUACUUCCUAAUCAGCUCUGCCUAAGAAGGGUCAUAACUUUUUCUUUUUCUUUUACUUCAGACUUAUGAUUUUUAUGAUGGGAUCAUUUGUAAACACGAUUCAGAUUCACAAUUGAAUUGAACGAAAUGAAAACAUAGUUUUCUUAAAUUGACACUUGUCCUGUUUUUUAAACCUGAUCCCCCCUGCACAAAGUUAUGUAUUGAUUUUGGCCUUGUGAGUUGUGGCAUAAUAUGAGUUAGACCACUUAACUAGUACCACUUUUAGUUACAACAGUACAUGCGGCACCAAGCAAGGAUUGUGUCUUUAAAAGGAGGCGUUAUGAAUUUACCUCUUGAUAGAGUUAUAAGCGCAAUGACAUUAGAGUUUGGAAAGAUUUGUUUUGGUGAGAAGAAUAACAAUACAUGCAGUUUGAUAGGAAUAGUUAACAUUUUCUUAAGGAAUACAAUAUUACAUCAAACCAUUUCAUAAAUGUUAAAGUAAAGAUAGAACUCGGAUCAGACAUAACGGUUGUAAGGGAUACAAAUCAGAUCCAUCCAACCAUUUCCGUUGAUAAAGGUAUAAACCGAGUACUUCUGAGCUUCUUCGUCCGUCAUAUUGGGUUUGUACACAGUCUACACGGUUGCUAAGACCCAAACCCCAGUUCCAGUGUUCUUGUACUCUCCAUACCUCAACGUCCUAGGGUUCCAUGUGAUCCAACCCCUCGGCUCAACCAUGUCUCCUAAAAACAUCUUCAUAACAAGAACCGUUGCAAACGGCUUCCAAGGUCAUCCAAGUUACAGAGCCGGCUCAGAGGACAAACCACACAAACCAUCGUUUAGUGCAUACAAUACGAGAAAACAUAAUAUAUUUAUUAAUAAAAGUUAUAUAAAUAAUACUAAUAUUUUUAUGAUUAUUAUUAUUAUUAUUAUUACUAUCAAAUAAAUACAAAUUAUGUUUAUAAACUUAAUAAAAUUAUAUAAAAUAUAAGUAAAAAUUAUUAAAAAUAUAAGUAAAAAAUAUAUAAAACAUAAGAAAAAAUAUUAUCUUUUAAAUGUGAGAUGUUGUAUUAACAAAUGAUUUUAGUAAUUACGACUGAUUAUAGUUAAAAUGUUGCUGAUAAUAUUAACAAAUAUUACUAUACAAUUAACUUUAUAAAAUUAUAUUUAAUAAUUAUUAAUGAAGUUGAAUUAGUUUAAAGUUUUUUGUGAUAUCUUAUAUUUUACAUAUAUAUAUAUAUAUAUAUUAGGAAAAAAUGUAAAUAUAUGUUGUUAAAAGUUUGUAAGGCAUCUAAAAGUGUUGGACCUUGUUAUGGCAUGUUCGUGCUGUUGAAAAUCACGAAGCCUGGGAAAUAAUUUGUAAGGCAUCUAAAAGUGUUGGACCUUGUUAAACGAACAGAGGUAGGGGUGGACACUUUACCCGAAAUCCGAAGUGGCACCUAAACCCGAUCUGAAAAACCCAAACCGAAAUCCGAACCGAAGUAGCAAAAUACCCGAACGGGUAUUAAAUUAGGAGAGAUUGGAUAUCCGAACCCGAACGGAUAAUAUCCGAACCCGAAUGGAUAUCCGAAGAUAACCGAACAUAUAUAUAAUUAACUUUAUAUUUCUACUUUACAUCUCUCAUUUUAUAUAAAACAUUUAUAUUGAUAUUACAUAUACUUUAAGUUCAUAUGAUAUAUAUAUAUAUAUAUAAUUAUGAAAAAAAUGAUUUGCUACUCACUUAAAAUGCAUGUCAAGUUUUUUACUUCAAAAAUUAACAAAAAGUUACAUCAAAAUUUUAAAAACAAUAACUAAAUUAAUGUUUUUUUAGUUUUAAAAUGUUAUGUCCAAAUCUAUUAACCAUUCAAUCUAUUAAAAAUAAAAAAUAAGUUAAGUGAAAUUUAUAUUUUUAAAUACAAGAAAUUUGAGAAAUUAAAAUUGAAUUUUUUUCUUUCAAAAUCUAAAUAUCCGAACCCGAUCCGAAAUAACCGAAACCGAACUAAAAAUACCCGAACCCGACCCGAAGUACAGAAAUAUCCGAACGGGUUCUACACUUGUAUACCAAAAUACCUGAAAAUCUCAAAUACCCGAUCCGAACCCGAACGGGUAUCCGAACGCCCACCCCUAAAGAUGGAUAUCGUAAUUUGAUGGCUGGAGUCAGCUUAUUAUAAGUUUUGGUUCGAUCCGUUCAGAAAUAAUAAAUGUCGGUUCUGUUCAGAUCGAAUCGGUUUGGUUCAACAAAACAAAUCAACACCCGAGUCCCUCCCCCCACCCAAACGCCUCCAUAAACCUCGUGUGCUUCAGAGGAUCUCGUCUUCUUCUCUCUUUCUAAUCGAAAAUGGGAACGUUGGGACGAGUAAUCUACACUGUGGGUAACUGGAUCCGCGGGUCUGGGCAAGCUCUAGAUCGCGUCGGUUCUCUUCUUCAAGGGAGCCACCGCUUGGAAGAACACCGUAAGCCACAUUCAAACCCUAGAUCCAAAUCCACAUCUCGAUUCGAGAAAUUGGUGGUCUAAUUUAGGCUCUCGUUUUCCAUUGGUUGUUUUGAUGACAGUAUCGAGGCAUCGGACGUUGAUGAGUGUGUUUGAUAAAUCACCAUUGGUGGAUAAGGACGUGUUCGUGGCUCCGAGUGCCUCUGUUAUUGGUGAUGUUCAGAUUGGGAAAGGCUCCUCUAUUUGGUAUGGCUGUGUUCUUCGAGGUAAAGGCCUUUUCUUUCCCACUAAAUCCUUUAAAAUGUUUUGUCUUUGGUAGCGUUAAGGCAAAGCCAAAUGAUAUUUGGUUGUUGGGAAUAGUAUGUCCCCCACAAAGACUUAAAAAACAAGAUUUGAUAUAAAUUGCAAGCCAAGUAUCAAAUUUGCAGCAUUAUACUUUGCAAGAUCGUGUGCAUUCGUUACAGUUUAGAUCUUUGCUGAUUUACUUGAUUGUCCUUUUCAUUUGAAGGUUCUAGGUUUAGUGUAUUCCUGAUGAGACGUUGUGAAAUAGCUGGAACUCAUUGUAACUUUUGUGCAGGUGAUGUGAAUAACAUCAGUGUUGGAUCUGGGACCAACAUCCAAGACAAUUCUCUUGUACAUGUUGCAAAAACCAACUUAGCUGGGAAGGUUUUGCCUACUACAAUUGGGGACAAUGUCACAGUAGGUAAACUUCUAAAACUGAUUUAUCAGCUUUUGAGAAUCUGUUUUAUGUAAUGUGUUCUGUUGCAUGAUUCUUACUUAAAAUCUUUGUGUGUAAAAAUUAAACCGAGCAGGUCAUAGUGCUGUCAUACAUGGUUGUACUGUUGAGGAUGAGGCUUUUGUUGGCAUGGGUGCUACACUACUCGAUGGUGUAGUGGUUGAGAAGCAUGCCAUGGUUGCUGCUGGUUCCCUUGUGAGAGAGAACACACGAAUCCCUUCUGGAGAGGUUUCUUUCUAUUCUCUUUUUCUUUUCUGGUUUACUUUCUACUGCGUUUGUGAUAAACAUAUUGACAAGUUAACAAACAAUUCAUGUGGCAGGUAUGGGGAGGAAACCCAGCAAAGUUCAUGAGAAAGUUAACAGAUGAAGAGAUAGCAUAUAUCUCAAAGUCGGCUGAGAACUACAUCAACCUCGCACAUAUUCACGCAGCAGAGAACUCAAAGUCAUUUGAAGAGAUCGAGAUUGAGAGAGCGCUUAGGAAGAAGUAUGCACGCAAGGAUGAGGAUUACGAUUCAAUGCUUGGGAUUGUCCGUGAAACUCCAGCGGAAUUGAUUCUCCCCGACAAUGUCUUACCGGAGAAAACUACCACCAGGGUUCCAACUACUCAUUACUGAUUCACCCGCCUCAGGUUGUUUUGCAGACAAAGAUUGAUUAAGUCAAGAGAGAUAUUAUCUUUUGGUUUUGCCCUUUUUUUCUUCCGAGUAAGCAUGGGAUUUGUUAUAUUCUUGCUCAAUAAAGCCGAAAAGAACAUGUACUGUUGCAUUAUGUCACAUUUGUUGGAUGAAUAAUUGCAUAAAGAAAAACGAUUUGCAUUCAUUGUGUUCUUCUCUUUUGCUGAUGAUGAUGAAAAUGAGUUUGGUUUCAAGGAUGAAUUAGUGUAUAGAGAUCAUGAUUUCUGAAUCCAAGUUAUAAACUAUUAGGACUUGGUGUUUUGGUUUAGUUUUUUGAGUUCUUAUUUUGCUAUUAAGACUUGGUGUUUUACUAUUUAAGCAAGGUUUUUUUUUUGCAUUGGUGUUGCUGUUUUGGACUAAAAUGUGGUUGAUUUGGUGUGUUUGGUUCUAGCAUACAUAUUUUACAAAGAUGCUGAUGAACUUAAAGUGGGACUAUAAGAUGGUUUGAAUACGUUUUCUAUAAUGCAUACGCAUGGCAUUUGGCUGAGUCUCAAGACCAAACCAAGCAUUGCGUGACUAAUAACAGAGACAUCACUGGAAGCUGACAAACAAUAUUUGGUCAGUGGAACGAGCAGGACCUGUGUUGCCUUGUCCCAUCCACAGACCACCGCUUAUCAAUAAUCCAGACAGUUCUCAGGGAUAUACCGAUUCGUAACAUCUAAUAAGAUGGCACCAGCAUAAAUUCUAAACAAAACAAACCUGAUUCAGUUUGCUUAGGUAAAAACUAUUACUGAAAAUUGUAACCUCAAAAAAAACACACAAAGAUUUCACGCUGAGUAAAAAGCAAAAUACUUGGGACAUAGACUGAUUUUUAAAUUCAGCUUGGAACUUUAACACCAAAGAGCUAAAGACGGACACAGUUAUAAUUCCAAAGUUAUUUGUGAUCAAACUCUAACACUCUCACUUUCUCACAUUUCCAUUGGUGCAACAUCCUGAUCACCUGCACCACCUUGUUCUGCAGCAGCAGCUUCAGCCUCGGCCUCACCACCAUCCUCCUCUUCCUCGGGAACGUUCUCAAACGUAUCAAUCACCUUCUGUAUGCUAUCCUGGUCCAAGAAAUGGAAUGGUUCAUCGACUCCUAGAACAGAAACGGUGCAGAGCGAGCUCUUGAGUGUCUCCCCUUGCAAAGUUUCCCUUAUGGCCAAAAUAGCAUCUUUGAUCAGAUCUUCUCUUGAUGACUCAUUGAAGCUCUCGAAUCUUCGUUCUAGAUAAGUUUUCGCAGCUUGUGAACGUGACCCGAUGGCGAACGCUUGGUACUCAAAGUAGUUUCCGCUGGGGCAGUUGUAGUAGAGGUGGGCUCCUGACUCGUCCAGUCCCCCUACCAGCAAACCCACACCAUAAGGUCGUUUCCAUGACCGUUGGGUACAUACCUGCUCAGAAAAAAAGUAUGAAGAGGGUAAACACAAGAUCAACAAACAAGUUCAACGAUCAAUAAUACCAGAGUUUUGUUCAAAGUACAAGAUUAAUAUAUGAGGCUUAUGGUCAGAAAUCAACCGAGAAAAAUGUCAAUAGAGCAGCUAACUAGACCUGUUGAAGCUGUGAAUACAUUAUUAAACUUAGAACUCUAAAUUAGACGCCAAAGUGAACAUAUACCACAAAGUUUCUAUUGCAAUUGUAAAACAAGAUCGUACUGGACGAGCACAAGAGAGGGUGAGUACACACCACAAGUGAACACACACAAAGUAGCGCAAGUUGAAACCACAAAAACCAAAAAGAGAAGAGCGAAGACUGUAUAUCCAAUUUUGCUUACAAAAUUGAAGAUAACAAAAGAUGCAAACAGCAACAAACACAACUAAAGUAUAAAAGCAGGCACAUUCUUAUACAGUUAUAUUGCCUCAAGUUGAUAACUUGUACAGCAUUCCCUUGUUAUAUUUUUGUUGGUAAAAUUCAAUAUUCGAACCCAUGACCUCUAGCACAAAACUAUGUCACACUGUCUAAAGUCAAUCUCUUUUGUUGUAUGUAAAAUUCAAUAUUCGAACCCACGAACUUGAGGUUUGGAAUGUUAAAGUGUUCUUAUCACAAAGCUACUAUGGUCACAUUGGUCUAAAGGCUAUGUAUGUCUUUUUUGUAAAAUUCAAUAUUCGAACCCAAGACCUUGAGGUUUCAAACGUUAAAGUGUUCCUACUACCACAAAGCUACUAAAAAGGCUAUAUCUUUGUAACUCAAGAGGCGGCGAGAGGAGGGAAAGGAGUAAACCUGGGCCUUAUCAGCAAGACGAACGACGAGGCGGCCAACAGGGAGAGGAGACUCAUAGGUGAAAGAGUGAUUGAUGGAUUCAGAUCUCAUGUAACGCGAGAGCACACGGCCAUCGGCGGUGAGUCCAGCGAUGGCGACACCGAUGUGGUCAUCGACUUUGAAGAUCUUCCUUUGGUGAGAAGAGAGCUCCGACUGGGCUUUAUUGACGGAGGCGAGGACGACAUGGGAGCGAGAUCUGAGCCCGAUUGCGGCGGAGCCUUGCUUGACGGCUUCCAUGGCGUACUCUACUUGGAAAAGACGACCGGUGGGACUCCAUGUUGUCACGUCUGUGUCGUACUGGUUCCUGAACAUCCUUGCUUCUUCUUCUUCGUCUUUGUUCGUCAAAAGAGUGUGUAUAGAGAGAAAGACGCAGUGAAAGAGGAAAAGCUUUUCGUUUGGUUUGGUUUGGUUUCUCUUUGAAGGGACGUAGAUGGGCUCUUAUAAGACCUAGAUGGGCUUACAUAAAUCUAAAAUGCCCAUAGAAAAUAGAGCAAUUGGCGUGCAUUGCAGAAAAUCAUGUAAACAAAUGCUCAAGUCUUAUUUGAAACUGAGUAUAAUUGUGGUUAUUUACCAUUUAAUCAUUUCUCUUUCUUAUCGCUACUUCCUACUCCCUAGAGUUUAACUUAUAGCAAGAGCCGGCCUUGGAAACAAAACGAAGCUUGUGUUUCUGGCCGCCAAAUAUUAAGAUAAUAACCAGCCACAUAUGGACAGUAAAUUCUCAGUAGCAUAGUGGUUGGCGUGUGGUUACAAGUAUUACAGGGUAGCAUAUUACUUGUAGUUGGCUUUGCUUAUAGCAGACUAGUAAUAUUUAUAUAAUAUUUUAGUUAUAUAUUUAUCUCAUAUUUCAUUUAUAACUAGGUGUUUUUAGCACUAUGUGCAGUAAUAAUUUUUAAAAAUUUAAAUCAUCUUUAAAAUAAAUUUUAUUAACAUUUUAGAUUUUAUUAUUUUUACCAAUAUUUUAAUAUAAAUUUAAUUUAAUUAAACAUAAAAUUAAGAUAAAAUACUGUUUUCUUUAUUUUAAAUUAUAUUUAAGAAUAUAUAUAUAUAUGUAUAUUUUUAAAAUUUUAACCUUAGAUAUAUUUUUCACUCUAUUUUUUUUUUGGUUAAAAAUAUUAAUCAACUAUAAAAUUAAUAAAAAAAUGAUAUAAAAUUAUAUCAUUAUCAAAAAUUAAAACUAAACAGUAUUUAUAAAAUUUAUGGGUAUAUAAAAGAAACUAAUGAUACUAGGAUUAAAAAAUUAUAAGUUUUUUAAAAAUUGUAGAAAAUUUUACAAAAUUUAGUAAUAAAAAUUAUAUAAUUCUAAAAAGUAAAUUACAUAAUAUUAUGCAUAAGCCAUGUCAUCAACUUUAGUAGCUAUGUCUCAUUUUUUAUGUAAAAAUGAUUGUAGAAAAUGAUUGUACGUAGAGAGAACAUGUGAUAAAUCACUUCUAAAAUAAUGUCUAUGGGAUCUAAUUUUCUCUUUCUUUUUCAGGUGCUUUUGUUCGACAGAAUUACAAAAGUUAUAAUCACUACUGAAGGAAAAGAUGAAGAUGUUGUCCUUAAUAUGUAUGUAGUCAUCCUAUUUUUCUGCUCAUUUCGAUAUUUUUUUCUAUUCUCUAAGUAAUUUUCUUUCGCACCUCAUGUGAUCUUAGUACUUAUAAAAUCAAAUUUGUGUCUAUUUGAUAAAGACUGGAAGCAGUUAAAGGAGAGAGAGGAGCUGGCUGUGAAAGCCAAAAGGUUUGAUGAUAGUAAUGAUAUCAUAAAUUGUUUUGUUGAGUUUGAAUUAACUCAUUGUGCCGAAUUGGCUCAAUUUGUUUAAAAAAAUGAAGUCAAUAUAUUUUAGAUUUUAUAUAUAAGAAUGUUUAUUUUUACCAGGUAUGUGUUUUUAAUAAUUGAAGGUUGUGUAAUUUUAUAAAAGGAUAUCACUUACAUUUUUUAGUCUAAAUUACAUAUAAAAAUGAUGAUUAGGUAAAUUUGUUGAAAAAAUUAAGUAUAACUUGUAAGUUAAUAUCAAGUUGACAUGAAAUACUCUGAUUUAACCAUAUAUUCUAUUUAAAUAGAAAUCAACAUAACCUUUACUCUGACCUCAGUGGAUUCUUUCAUCAACGUAACUUCACGAACAUGGAAUACCAGACAAUUCUGUCUUUGGUAGAUCCCUAGGAUGUGAAUAUUAUUGAAAGUAUACCAUUGAGCUUGACUCGUAUAACAUACAGAGAUGGAUGUCAUUUUACCAAUAAUGGAAAAUACACUGUGAAAUAUGGAUAUCAAGUGGAACGAUUUUUUCCCGACAGAGAAAAAGCGCACUGAAGGCUUUUUGUUGGAAAGUAUGUUACUCCCUAAAAAUAAAACACUUCCUUUGGCAACUAGUAUCAGAAUGUAUAUAUAGCGGUUAAGAAAAACUUGAGAGCGAGACAUAUUCAGUGUGAUAUAUAUUGUGUCAGACAUAGAGCAAUUGAAGAAACAAUAAAUCAUGUGUUUUUUAAAUGUCCUCCAGCGGUGCAAGUUUGGGCACUUUCAUAGAUCCCAUCAAAUCAAUAUAUUUUUCCGGUUCAAUCAUUCUUUACAAAUAUGAAUCAUCUGUUUUGGAUAGUUUCUCCGCAUAUGGAAAACCAUAAACUUGCUUAGGUUUUAUGGUACAUUUGGAGAGGACGAAACAACAAAGUUUUUAGUAAUUUGGAUACUGAUCUGAGGGAUACUCUCAAAUUGGCAGAGACAAAAUCAUUACUUUGGGCAGAGGCUCAAGAUACUCUUACUCAGAGGGUCGUCCAAUCUAGGGAUGUAGAAGACUCAAUUUUACCUUCCAUACCGAGAAGAUGAUGUUUUACGGAUGGAUCAUGGAAAGAAUAUGAAAGUCAUUCGGGACACAGUUGGUAUAGCAUGCUUGAAGGCUUUCAUGAACUGAUGGGAGCAUGCAAUACCAGGGCCAGUCUUUCACCCCUUCAUUCGGAAAUAGAGGCGCUUAUUUAGGCAAUGGAAUGUGAGAGGAAUUUAAGGCAAUAUCAUGUCAGUUUUGCAAUGGAUUGUUCUCAAUUGGUGAAGAUGGUUUAUGAACCAGAAAAAUAGCCAGCCUUUGCAAGUUAUUUGGAAGAUAUCAAGUUCCUAAAAUGAUGUUUCAACCAUUCAGACCUCAUUCAUAUACCUAGAACACAUAAUACCAGGCCGAACAGCCUCACACACAGUGCGAGGAGACAACCAUCGUUCGUCGUUCAUAUGGAUGCAGAAUUACCAGCUUGGUUUGCAGAGUCUUCAUGAGUCUGUUUAUGUCGAUGACAAAAAAACAUAUUUGAAGAUGAUAUUUUAUUUCAUUUCACUUGAUAUUAGAACAAAUUAUAGUUAUAUAAUCUUAUAAAAGGAUACCAAAAGCAUAUUCGACCUAUUAUAUAGAAACAUUGACUUAUUUUGAGAAGCUUAAAUACAAAUCAUAGUAAAUAUGUACGUCAAACUAUCUGUACUCUGACAUUUCUAGAUCCUCCAUAAGUUAAUGUCGUUGUACUCCAACUUCUCUAGAUAUUCUACAUUUUUUUAUUUAUAAAUACCAGUUACUUGAUCAGUUGAUGGAUAUGUUAUUUUAUUAAAAGAUAUUUCUAAAAGUAUAGUUAUGUGAUUGCACUAGUGAUUAACCAUUUUUUAGAAAGCUUGUCAUGUAUGGAUUGUUGGAUGUAAAAAGUCUACCCGUACAAGGAAACAUAAAAGUAGCUCUCUAAAAAAUCACAACAACAUAAUAUUGAAAAGGUUGUUAGCUGGAUAAAACUUUCUAAGUACAACUAAUAUUAAUUUUAAUUGUACUUAAAAGGUUUUAUCUGGUUAACAACCCCUUUCAAUCUUAAUAUAGUUUUCAUUUGAAAAUUGUGUCAAUUUGAACAUUUUGAUGAUCAAUCAUGCGCAUUUAUUAAAAGAAGGAAAGCUCUAGAUGCAUGUAAACUAUUAUUUUUAGUAAAAAAUAGUUACAAGGAGAAAACACUUUGAACAUGUGAAAACCAAAUGUUUUUCUGUAAACUAAUACUAGUUUAUUAUAUAUGCAUGUAACAUAUCAACCAAUUUUUGUGUGCAGAAAAAUUGUUAGAAUUAGUGUAAGCAUCAACUAAAAAUAGUUUUAAUAAUCAUGGUCAUAUCCACGAGAUCUAACAUCUUCAUUAGUGGCUUCUCAUGUCAACAACUUUUCCUAUGCCACAAUCACUGGAACCACCCACCACCACCACCACCCAUUUUAAUAAAGCUAUCAUCUUUUUACAUUCUAGUAAGGAACCAAAAUUGCAUCAGCUUCUCCAUUCCCUUGAUCCCUUUCACUCUCAUCAAAGAGAUCUUGUUGCGGAUUCCCUUAUCAAUCAUCCUUUUAAUCACUGGUAGUGGCAAUAACUUAUCACCAUGCAUAAGCUUGUUACGCUCUCUCCAUACUGCAUACAGAACUUCUUGGAAAGCAUAUCUUAUACAGAAGAGGCUCAUCUUUUCUCUUUUCUCAUCCAAUAGAAUAGCCAAGAUCUCAGACCAGAUAACUGUAUAGGAGUCUCGUAAAAUACCUUUGGCUAUAAACUCCCAUAUCUGUGCAUAGUAAUCACUUUCGAAGAAUAAGUGACUCCUCGUUUCUGCAGCAUUUUUACAGAGCACACAUGUAGUGUCCAGUCCCUGGCUCCAUCUUGAUGCUCUGUCUAAGGUCGACAUUCUAUCUCUUAUCAACAACCACACCAUGAAUGCAAACUUUGGAGUUUCUUGAGAAAACCAUAUACCCCGAGCCCAAGAGCAUUGUGUCUUACUCUCUCUGAGCAACAACCAAGUUUCACUAGUUGAAAAUCUUUGUUUAAAUCCUGAUUUCCCUUUCCAUAGACUCACAUCCUUUCUCUCUUGAUUUAGCUUUCCCCCAAUAAUAAUCAACUCCUCCUCUAUUUCAAUGAGUAAACUCAUACGGUGUCAUGCGUCUCCUUCUAGUAUUUAACACAGCUUCCUCCAAAGUCGCAACCCUACUCACUCCCAAGUCGAUAAUGCCUCGAGGCCCUAGCAAAUCAAAGAGAGCUCCCUUAUUCGACCAGUUAUCAAACCAGAAAGAUAUAUGUCUUCCAUUACCCAGCUAUUUCUUGUGAAACAUCUUUGCAACUUCUCUAAGUUUCAAUAUUUUACGCCACAUCCAAGAUCCAUUCUGAGUAUUGACGCUUAAUUUCCAGAAACUUUUCCCUUUCAGAAAAUUUUCUUUGAUACAUUUACCCCACAGCGAGUCACCCGAUAACAUUAUCCAUAUCAACUUAAGGCCAUAUACCUUAUUAACUUCCUUUAGAUCUCUUAGUCCCAGACCACCUUCACUCUUCAUACUACAGACAUCUCUCCACGCUACUUUGGCAUUUGACGACUUAAGUAUUGGUCCUGUCCAAAGAAAUGUUGCGCAUUGCUCCACCUCUUUAAUACAAGCACUUGGGAGACUAAAUACUACUAACCAGAAGUUUGAUUAGACUCAUUAAAACUUGUUUUAUUAACUGCAGUCUACCGGCAUAUGACAAGAAUCUGCACGUCCAAGAGCUUAUUCUGCUUCUGAUAUUUUCCAGUAGCGAAAGAUAGUCUUGCUUCCUCAUCACUUGGGUCAUAAGGGGGAGUCCCAGAUACCUCACUGGAAGUUCACCUUCAGCAAAUGGGAAGUUAGUUAAGAUACUCCUUUUCUCUGCCUCCGGUACUCCUGCCAUAUAUAUUGUAGAUUUCUCUAGGCUAAUUUGUAACCCUGACCACUCUUCAAACUCAUCAAACACAGAAAGGGGCUCCCUCUAUAGACUUUUUAGAACCUUCAACGAACACCAUUAAGUCAUCUGCAAACAAAGAUGUGUUCUAGAAAGCUUCUUACAUCCCGGAUGUAGUUUGAACUUCUUAUCAGCCACUGCUCUAUCUAUUUUUAAAGAUUGCACGUUCAUAUAGAGAACAAACAAAUACGGAGACAGAGAACAUCCCUGACGAAGACCCCUCGAGCUUUGGAAAUAGCCAGCUAGAUCACCAAUGACUUGCAGAGAACAGGAUGGGCUUGUGAUACAUAGCUCAAUCCAAUGGAUAAACCUUUCCGGGAAACCCAAUACCCUCAAACUCUUCAGAACAAACUCCCAUUGCACCGAGUCGAAUGCUUUAGCAAUGUCAAUCUUCAUAACACACCUUGAAGACACUGCAUCCUUGUGAUAACCCUUAACAAGCUCAGAUGCAAGCAGCAUAUUCUCCAUGAGAAGUCUACCUUGUAUAAAAGCCGGCUGAGUCUUUGUUAUGAUUCUUGGAAGUAGCUUCUUCAGUCGAUUUGCCAAAAAAAUUGACACAACCUUAUAGAGUACGUUACAGCAUACAAUAGGAUGGUAAUCUUUCAUCUCCAUCGAAUCAAAUUUCUUAGGAACUAACGCAAGAAUUGUCGAAUUAACACCCUUUGGCAAAAACCCAAAUCUGAAGACUGAUUGUACCGCAACAAUGAAAUCCUGAGAUAUAACCGACCAAGCUGUUUUGAAAAACCCACACGGGUAGCCGUCUGUCCCUGGAGCCUUGUUGUUCGGCAUAGCAAAGAGAACUUUCUGAAUUCCAUCUUCAGUAACUUUUGCUUCAAGAAUACUACAAUCCUCAGAUGAGCAACGAAACUUUAGCAAUUCCUGUAACUCCUCCUCAGAUGCACCCUUGUAAUUCUCUGGCUUGUGAUUUAGAAAUUCUGAAAAAAAAAUUCUCUGCCUCUUGCUUUAUCUCUGAAUGUUUAGUCACCACUCUUCCAUAUGUACAUCUUAUCUCCCUGAUCAUGUUCUGAGCUUGUCGGGUUUUGAUAGCUCGAUAAAACGUCUUAUUAUUCUUAUCUCCACUAUCUAGCCAAUGUAGCUUCGCUUUCUGCUUUAAGUAUUCUUCUUCUAGACUUGCCACAUGUAGGCAUUUACCAUAUGUUUAUGCCUCCUCUUUGACAGAUGCUUCGCUCGGAUUUGCUAGUGUGUUACUCUGCUUCACACAUAGCAGAUCAUACGCCUCUUUUGCUCGAAUUGUUAAGUUGCCCAUCUUAUCUCUUCCCAACUCACGAAUCAACGGCUUCAAAUGCUUUAACUUCUUUGAGAAUCUGAACAACGCCGAGGUAGAGUGAAACAGUCUUUUCGUUGUAUCCCAAUACCUCUGGACCAUAGGAAGAAAGUCAGGCAGGCUACCUAUCACAUUGAUAUACUUGAAGGGUCUUUUGACUUUCUCACUCGGAGGAAACAGUUGAACUUUGCACCUCAUGUGAUCCAAACAUCCCCCUGCUUCAAAAACUGCAUAAGCAUUACUAAAUCUUUGCAGACCCUCUUUAUUUAGUAAUACCCUGUCCAGCUUCUUGCAAAUUACUCCAUCCUCCCUCUUAUUACUCAUGUAAACUGUGGCCCUUGAUAAUGUCAGAGAGCUGACACUGAAGAACCAAACUCUGAAAGUCUCUCAUUCCACACGGGAUCCUACUCAUGUUAUCAAACCUCGAACUCUCAGCUCCAUCAAGAAUUUCAUUAAAGUCUCCCAUGAUCAUCCAAGCUUUAUUUUUGAAGCUAGGAGAACUAUGAUGAUGCACAAGAUCCUCCCACAAUUCCUUCCCACCCUCUACUUGAUUACUCACAUAUAUACAUCAGCAAUAGAACUUUUCUUCUCCUUUCAUCUCCACCAAACAAAUGACUAUCUGAUCAGAUUUAUAUACAGGCAUCAUACGAAUCGUAUCUCUCCAUAAUAACCAUAUUCUUCCUCCUUGGCUAUCUUCGUAAUUUGUUAUUGAUGACCAAUCUCCAAACAGUACUCCUCUUAAAAUCUUCCAUGCUUUCCCUUCCUUAACUCUAGUUUCCAAUAUACAACCAAACUUCAACUCCUUAUUAUAUUUACCCACUCUUUUACUAUGGAAUGCUUCAAAUCUUUAUUGAAUCCACGAACAUUCCAGAAAAAGCACGUCAUUUUUAAAGAUUUCACCGAGAAGACCUUUUACUCUUCGGCUGAACCUCAUGAGCCUUGGUCUUCUGAACUCUUCUUCCACCUCUUAGUUUUACUACCUUGUUUUUCUCUUCCAGGAUCUCAUCCUCCAACAAAUCUCCUUCCAAUAUAUUUGUAUUCUCCGCUUCCUCAUGUUCCUCACUCUCCACUUCCUGUGAUUCUUCUAGUUCACCCUCCUCAACUUCAUCUAUUGAAAGAACAUAAUACUUUGACGCCGAGAUUUGGACUUCACUAGCAUCUCUCUGCAGAGAAUUUUGCACUCUCCCUAUUUUAUCUGGUGAGACAAGUGACCAACCACUACCUCUCACCUGUUUUUCCCCAGUGCCUACCAUUUCAGCCUUAUUAACUUCUCCAAUAGAAUCAUCCUCCGAAAUGACUACCUCCCGGUUCUGUAACUCUUCCUCCUGUUUACUAUCUUUCUCCCUCAACCCUACUAUAGCUUCACUUCCCACUUUAUCACAAUUCUUCUCACCAGUUUCCUUCCCCUCUAUCUUCUUAUCUCUUUUCUUCCUCACACAAACCUUGUCUGUAUGUCCCCAUUUCUCGCACAAGUUACAUCGAGAAGGUAACCAUGUGUAAUAAAAUUCAGCAGUGAACUCCUUCCCUCCCAUUGUGAAAUCAAUCUCCUUAGGCAACGUCUUCGAAAUAUCAACAUUCACAAACACUUUCGCUUCUUCAUAUUUUGAACAAGACAUUGUCUUUGGGUGAAGACGAACAGGAAACUCCACAGUACUCGUCAUGAAGCUUCGAGCCUCCCAUGAGAACGUGUUCAGAGGAAUCUUUCUUAAAUGCACCCACAUUGGUAUAGCUUCCUCCUCCUGCUUAUCCUCUUCUACCUUAGGCGUCCAUUUCUUCACAACCAUAGGAACUCCAGCUAUAUUCUACAUUGGUAUAGUCUUCAUGGCUUUAGCUUUUGGCUUUUAUUAUUUCCUCUGUUUCUACGAUAGUUUCUUCUUUGCUUUCAACUGACCCCCAUAACCUAUGUUGCUUCCUGCUUAAUUAAAAAUCCAAUCAAUAUCCACCACUAAAUAGUCAAACUCUUACCGAGAUUGUCUUGUUGUGAACCUCAGCAACCAACCCAUGUGCUUGAUACCAUGUUAAAGUUCAUAGAAAGAACUUUAAAAACCUCAGCCUUCUUCUUAAUCGACAUUGAAAGAGCAUGAAAUAGUGUGUUGCAAGAGCUUAGCUUAAUGUAAACUUGAGUAGUAUCUGAGUUGAUGAAAAGCUGCACAUUUCUCACUUUGGUUUCUCUGACAUCCAAAUCAGUUGAGACCAAUAUAAAUUUCAAUGUGGUAUUAGUCAGGUAAUUGAAACCUAGAGAAGAAUAACACAUGAAAGGAGUCCAUCAGAGACAGAUAGGCUAAGAAUAACACAAAUGUUAAGUGUAGGCACAAUUCACACUACUUAACGCUUACACUUUGUAGUUCACCUAAAGGAUAAAAUAGGCUAAGAAGUGCCUCGUUGAAUGUUGUACCAGAUAUUUUCGGAUUAUUAACUGCAUAAAAAAGUUAGACACAUUUCCAAAGAGGAAAAGAACAUUACGAUGUAGUCUCUAUAUAUAUUUACAAAUGUCGUAUAUAGUAAAUACCAAGUAAUAUAGACAAAAACGAAACGGAAAGAAAAAGUUCUUGCGAUUCAUUUGGAGAAACAAACAUUGACACUAAGAGAAAUGGAUCUAAUAAAGUAAGAACCCUUAUCAUACAAUUUUGUUUUCCCUUGAAGUUCGGAAUGUAUAAACGGAUCUACGAAACCUUCAUGGUUAAGCUUCCCGUCCACCUUGAGGCGACGAAGUAGCAGUUCGUAAUAUGGCAUUCAAUCAAGGUUCCCACUACAUUUUCUUUAGUUCAAGCAACCGAUGUUAUUGGAUAACACCAACACAGAUUUUCGAGGUCUCUCAAAAUUGAACCUUUACCAGUUUUUCUUCUAAUAUUUUAUUUCAUCGAAACCAAAAAGGAAAGAAAAAGUUUUUGCAAUUCAUUUGGAGAAACAAACAUAUACAUGAAGACAAAUUCUAAAUAGAAAAAAAAACAAUAUUGGAUAAAAUAAAGGACCUUGAGAGCGUGAGGGGAUCACCAACAUCUGUCAAGCUCUGCAUCUAAGGUGGAUUGUUCUGUGUGGAUCCUAGAUCAGAGACAAUGAAUCAAAUCCAAAAAUCGGUGAAUAAAGUCAGCGGUUAAUCUUGAGAGCGACAACGACGGAUCUGGAAGUUCUGAUGUUAGAGACGACGAAUGGGCUUUAUAAAACAAAAACCAGACAUCGAAUAUAAGCAAAAGCCCAAAAAAAAUUAUAAACCUAAACAAAUAAAAUGGUGAGUUUUGUUAAAGCGGACAGGUGUCGCUCCCAGAACGCACGACUUAGUGACAUGGCAGCACCAGGAGGGAGCAAACAUCUUUUUAUAUAAUGGAUAAAAGAAAGGACCUUGAGAGCGUGAGGGCAUCACCAACAUCUGUCAAGCUCUGCAUCUAAGGUGGAUUGUUCUGUGUGGAUCCUAGAUCAGAGACAAUGAAUCAAAUCCAAAAAUCGGUGAAUAAAGUCAGCGGUUAAUCUUGAGAGCGACAACGACGGAUCCGGAAGUUCCGAUGUUAGAGACGACGAAUGGGCUUUAUAAAACAAAAAGCAGACAUCAAAUAUAAGCAAAAGCCCAAACAAAUUAUAAACCUAAAUAAAUGAAACGGUGAGUUUUGUUAAAGCGGACAGGUGUCGCUCCCAGAACGCACGACUUAGUGACAUGGCAGCACCAGGAGGGAGCAAACAUCUUUUUAUAUAAUUAGAUAAUUAGAUAUGCAGAUUCACUUAUCCACAAUAUGAUGUACACACAUGUUCAAACUCACUUUCCACUUUGUUUUAUCCAUGCUCAGGUGUCCAUUUUGUUUUGUCCACUCUCACUCAAACUUCAAUUUUAGACUAUCUACAAUGAGCUAUUGAAUAAUAAAAAAAAAUCAAUAGUUGAAAAGACAAUGGUCUAUUGAAAAACAAGUUGAAUCAUACUUAUAUUAAAUAAAUUUGAAAGAAUUUAACAAUGUUGAAUCGGUAAAGUGGAGCCAGAGUGAAGCCAUCAAUGACCACCUUUCAUGAAGUUAUUGGCUAUAGAGAUUUCUGAUUUGUUUUUCGUCUGAAUUAAUUGAGAUAAAUUAUUUCAUUAAAUAAUUUUGAAAAAAUAUAUUUUUACACCAAGAUUAUCAUGUUUCAUAUUUUAUAAAUAGAGACUUGCUCCAUUUAAUUUUGAAACAAAAAAAACUUAUCUAUUUCUACUAUAUUUUCUAGUAGACUACAAUAAACUCUUGUUUAUAUAUUUUCCCUUUUUCAGUGAAAUGAAUCCCAAAAAUAACUUUUUAACACCCAAAGUUCUACUAAUCAUCCUUUUAACUAUCCAAAUCCAACAACUAUCAGUUUUAAAAUAUUGGAGAAAUGAAUUGGUGCAUACGACAACGCUAAGUGUAUGCAGCAAGGUAUUAGUCGAAAAUGAUAUAUUGGCGCAUGAGCUAUAUUAGAGUGAUAAGAAUGGGCAUUUUAUUUAAUGUCAGAAUGAUGGCUCGCUGUCUGUGAUCAACCACGUUAUGGUAGUCAAGUAUGAGGAAAUACUGGUUUUGGAAGCAGUGGAUUUAAGAGAGCCCAUGAAAGUGAUGCUCGAAACUCCAGAUCUGUAAAAUUUAGUGCUCGUCCAAUGGGGAUGAAUGCAUAUAAGAAGAAAAAAAGAUAAAAAUAUGGGCUCUUACCAGCCUUGGAUGUGGUCAAUGAAAAUUUCAUUGAAUUCAAACAAAUCAAAGGGCAAUAGUUGUAACACUUGAAAAAAUUAGUCAUGUUGCAAAAGAAUUGAAACCAAAGGUGAAAAGAGGCAACCCAAAGGAAAGAAGAAGCAAACAAAUUAAUGAAAUAAAAGAUUCGGUCUACGAAUAUAAAGAUGUGGUUGAAGUCAAGUGAAAAGGUACAUCUCAGUAACAAGAGCAGAGAAAUGUCCCAACAGUUGAGCCACAAAUUAUUUGGAAAUUAAUUGUAGUCCCAAGUGGAUGUUUAUAUCAUGUCACUUCAUGCUUGUUUGUAUCAUGUCACCUCAUGCUUUAAUAAUGUUUGUUUGCUACUUUUUCUUUUAAUAAUGUAACAUGUGACUUUUGGCUUUUAUUGAGAAAAUCUUAUCCUCCAAUCACUCAACAUGCUUUAAGCAUUGAAUGUGGGGCAUAACAAAAGAAGAAAAAAAAUAACAUGCAUCGGACUUUACAUUUAGUUUUCAUUCAAACUUAAAAACGUAGAAUCAUUAACAAUAAUAAAAUAUAAAAGUACUUGCAUGAAGAAUAAACUUUUUUAUAAAAAUCUUUCCUACAGGAAAUGGUAAAAGAGUGGGUUGUCGACUCUGGGCACCAAUGCAUGUCUAUCUUUUUUUCUUUUUCUCUUUGUCUAUAAAAAUACUACACACUCUUCAUUUUCUUCUUUCAAAGGGCAUUCAUUUCAAAUGACAACUGCAUCUUACUAUUGCGAGAACCUUGCAAGAAACAACCCCCAUCCCCCUUCCGCCCAAUCAAGUACCAGUUGCUUCGCAGCGCGGGUAGCCUCAAAUCAAAAAUCUUCUCUACUCAUAAUUUUUUUUUAUUUUCUUGUUUUAUAUAAAAAUUUAAGAUGAAGUUUUAUAUUAUGUUUAACUGAUUUUUCAUAUUUUUUAAGGUUGUCUCAUAUGCUUCUUUCCACCAAACAAUUCAAAAAUCAGAUACAUUUUUUUUGUUUCUUCAAUAAAUUAUGAAACUUCUGAAUUUUUUAAAAUAAGUUAAAUUUCUAUUCGAUAAUACUCAGUAAAAAUCAACCUGUUAUUUACAAAUAUAUUAUAACAUAUGCAAGCAUUUCAAUCAUCUAUAUAAUUUUAAAUAUUAUCUAUAUAUAUAUAUAUUAGUUUUAUGAAUUUAUGCAUGUUAUUGAUAUAAAAAUAUUUUUUUAUAAUAAAUUUAUAUUUGUAUAGUUAAUUAAUAUUUUACAAAAUGAAAUAGUAAAUAUAAUUUUUAUUCGUUCAUAUAUGUACUAUAACACAUGCAUGUAUUUUAAUCUUAUGUAUAAUUGGUUUUUUAAUUUUUUAUCUUCAGUUUUCUCUUAUAUUAAUAUUUUAUUAAAUAUUAUGGUACAUAAUUAAUUUCUAUAGCGAAUUAUAAAUACUUUAAUAGGUAUAACAUUUGUUUAAAUCUUAUGUAUUGCAAUUUAAUUACAGUCAAUAAUUAUUACCCAUCCGUUUUGAUUUACUUGUUAUUUUAGAAAAUCACGCAGAUUAAGAAAAUUAAUAUUUUUUCUGUUAUACCCUUAUCAAUCAAAUUUAUUUACAAGUUUAGUUAUCUAUUUAAUAUUUUAAAUUAGUUGUAAGAAAUAAUUUUCUUGUCGAAUAUUUUGGCUCUUAGCAUUCUUCACCAAAUUAUCUUUAACUAUUAGUUCAAUGAAUUAAUUAAAUUGACUACAUACUCCUGUUAACAUCAAUAUAUUUAGAGGGAAACUAAAAUUUUUACGUUUAAUUAUACGCAAAAACAAAACAUAGUGGAGGCAAGUAAACAGUUCAAAACUUUUGACAAUCAGUAUAUAAACAAAUCGUGCGAUAACAAAAGUAUCAAUGGCUAAUUCUGGUCAAAACCUUUUUACAUUCAACAAAUAAAAAGCAUUAUUUUGAUUUAAAAAAUCGUGUGAUAACAAAAGUAUCAGUGCCAUUUUCUGUCAAAAAUAAUUACUGAAAAAAUAUAAAUAGGCUUGUUAUCUUUAGAUUAUAAACAGUCUGGGCAAUUUUAACAUACAUGUUGACCACAUUGGAAAAGAUAAGAAAAAUAUUUCAUUGUAGAAAAUGGCGGUUGAGAUGAUGUUAAACGAAGAUUUUUUGAAGUAUAGUUAGUUAAUUUAAAACAUUUUGUUAUUUUAUAUUAAAGUUAGAAUAGUUAUUUUCUUGUAUAAAUCAUAUUGAAAAACGAGAAUGACGCUUAAUUUGUGACAAAAAUCAAACCUAAAACGACAAGUAAAUCGAAAUGAUGGCAGUAAUAUAUAAUCAGAAAAAGAAACAUAUAAGAACGUAAAAUUAUGAAAAAAAAAUUGUAGGGUAUUUUUCAACAAACCAUUGUGAAAUAUAAAAAAUGAGUGGGUAUUGAAUUAUUAUGUAGACGAUAGAAACGAUGACGGGGAAGAGAGAGCAGAUAAUGUUGAGUGUAUGAAAUGUUGAAAUCAUUGUGGAUAAUGUUAGACUAUCUACAAUUGUGGGUAAAUUUACCACCCUCAUUUUUUUUUAUUUUUUAACACUCUAUAUCAUUUUCUCGUUUUUCCACCUAAUUAUUCAACAACAAUUUCAUUUUUAACCAUACAAUAGUUUUGUUUAAUAAAAUUCAACAUCAUACCCCAUAAUUUUUAAUUCAUAAGUUUUUAUUGUUUAUAAUUUAAACUAUAUUAAUAAUUUGAUUAUAAUUAACUUAAAUAAUUAAAGUAUCAAAGUUUUUACUAAUUUUUAUUUAUAUCCUUCACUAAGUUUUGAAUAUCAAUAGUACAACUAAUACUAUUAAAAUUCAACUAUGUUCUAAUUAACACACAAAAAAAAACUGCAAUAUAGUGAAAACAAUUAUUUUCUGGUGUCCAAAUCAAGGAAACCAAGUCUUUAUCUAUAGAAUAUAAAAAGUUAUGAAUUUUGAUAUAACUUAUUUUAAAAAACAUAUUAUUUGAUAUACAAUAAUUGAUCUUAAAAACUAUGGUGAAAUAAAAAUCUAUAAAAUCUAAACAACUACUAAUAUAAUGACAUGUGUACCAAUUCACUCAUUUUAAUUUUUUUUUAAAAACUAAAAAUUCAUUUUUGAUAACUUUUUAUUUAUUUAAGUGUGUCUUAUAGUGAUCAAGAUAACUUUGUGGGUUCUACUGUUGGCUCUUCCAACAGGUUGAAUCCACAUCAUAUUUUUAAGUUUUUCAACAGAUUCAUUGUGGGUAGUUUUACACCAUUAACAAUGAUUACAUGAUUCAACACCCUAUUUUCAUCUUUUUAACAUUCACAUCAUCUUCUCUCUCUCUUCCACACAAUCAUUCAACAACCACUUUAUUUUUGUAACAUCUACCAUAUUUUUGUUUAAUAAAUUCAACACUUUACCCACUAUUUUUUAAUUCAUAUUUUUAUCCUUUACAAUAUACUAACUAUUUAUUAAUAAUUUUUUAUUAUAAUUAAAAUAAAUAUUUAAAAGGACAAAACAAAUUACCAUUUUUUUCAAGUUGGAUAUUCAUAUAUUUUAAAAAAUAUAUUAUUAAAACAAAUGAAAUCAUUAAAAUUACUCAUACCACCAAGAGGUAUUGGCAUAGAUAAUUUAGAAAAAUCAGUUGCUACAAUAAUAUUUCAAAUAGAAAAAAAAUAAGGUGUUUGAGAAAAAUAAAUCAUCAUUGAUCGAUGAUAUGGAAGAUAGUUUGGAAAAAUGAAGACAUGAAGAAAUUUGGUGAAAAACCAUAAUUUGGUAUAUUUUUUGGUUAAUUGAAAAUUUAGUUUUGAAAUUGAUAAUUUUGGGGAUUUGGGUAAUUACAAAGAAAAUUAGAAGAAUUUCAGAUGUUAAAAGAAUUAUUAUCUCGAUCCAUUUAUCAAAAAGAAGAUUAAAAAACCAAAAUAGUUUAUUAGAGUGAAAAAUGACGUUUUAUUUUUUAUACCCAAAUGAAAUGAAAUUGAUCUCUAUUUAUAGAUCAUAACAAAUCACGAGUUUUUGUACAAUAUUUUUUAAAUGUUAUAACACCAAAAUAGUUGAUUAUAGUGAAAAUGACGUUUUAUUUUCUGUACCAAAAUUAAAUGAAAUUGGUCUCCAUUUAUAGAUCAUACAAAAUCACGAGUUUUUGUAUAAUAUCUUUUAAAUAUUUUAGUAUAAAAUAAAUGAGUUCAAAUUAUUGGGUAAUAUUUUUGAAAAAAAAAAGAAUCUGGAAAGCCACUGAGAAUCAGAUAUGUGUCUCUAUCUAAAUACAUCAUGAGUGUUAUACACGCGUCCAACAUUUUUUCUAAUUAAAAUUUAACAAGUGUCAAAGCUGCCCCAGAAAGAAAAAAAUUGGUUGAAUACUUUCAACUUUUAUGAAUCCACGUGUUUUAUUCCCAAAAUCAACACUCUGGUUGCACGUUGUUCAACAGUUGAAUUAAUAACUUAACAUGUUCACUUUGGAUAUUCUUAUAACAUUGGUUUCAUAUCUUGUUCUACAUCGUUGAUUCAUCACUUAUUCAAUAUUAACUUCCUGGUAGUCCAUUAAAUUAAGUCUCUAGUUUUUUUUGCAUAAAAUUUGAUAAAAUUUUGUGUCUAGUUACGACACAAUGUUCACAAAACUUUAUGAAUGUAUUACACAUACGAGCACAUUUAUGUUUUUCUUACAGAUAAAGACACAUUCCACUUAAGAAGCACAUUGUGUUUUAAUCAACGAGAUUUUUGACAUAUUUACCCUUGUUCUUGAAACAGAGUGUAGACGUUCCGUUAAUAAGACUACCUUUGUUUUAUUCCCAAAAUCAACACCCUGGCUGCACGUUGUUCAACAGUUGAAUUAAUAAUUUAACAUGUUCACUUUGGAUAGUCUUAUAACACUGGUUUCAUAUCUUGUUCUACAUCGUUGAUUCAUCACUUAUUCAAUAUUAACUUUCUGAUUAGUCCAUUAAAUUAGGUCUCUAGUUUAUUUUGCAUAAAAUUUGAUAAAAUUUUGUGUCUAGUUACAACACAAUGUUCACAAAACUUUAUGAAUGUAUUAAACAUACGAGCACAUUUGUGUUUUUUUUACAGAUAAAGACACAUUCCACUUAAGAGGCACAUUGUGUUUUAAUCAACGAGAUUUUUGACAUAUUUAUCCUUGUUCUUGAAACAGAGUGUAGACGUUCUGUUAAGAAGAAAUGAGAACAAUAAGUAACUAGUUAUAGCACUUGGGUAUUAAUAUUUUAUAUAAUUAUUAUAUACUACACUGUUUUAUGUAACGGAAAACAAACCAAAUGAAAAAGACAUAGUUUAUCUUUAUUAUUAUCAUUUAUUCUACCUCUUUAUAUUUUGUUUUACUUUAUUUUAAAUUUAAAGAUAUAUAAAAAAUGCUUGAUGUAAUAAAUUAUGUUCUUUAUUCUCUAUAAUUUGUCAUCAACUUUGAUAUUUUUAUUUUAAAUUUAUACAUAAAAUAGUAUGGACUAAAACAUGGACAAAGGAGUUGUGGAUAUGAACAUUCUGAUUGUGUACAUUCCAAAAAUGACUAAAUAGUUUUAUAUGUUAGCAAUUUGAAUAUAUAAAAACAUAAAUUUUUGUUGGAGAAACCAUGUGAAGUGAAUUACGUAUUUUAUGGAAGAGAAAUAUGGUCAUAUAUGUUGUGGAUAAAUAAAGAAUAUGGGUUCAUACAUUAAGAAGACCAUUCUGCAUAUUUAAGAAUUUUGAGGUAAAAGCUUAAAUAAUCAAAAGACAAGGGACCAACAAUGCAAAAAGAUAAAACAGCACCAUUGUUGGUCUCGAGACCUCUGGCUUCUAAUCAACUUGGGCGAGUGAGGCAGGAUGGACUCCGACUCCUUUCACCAACAUGUUAUCUCGGCUAUACUUUUUCGUAUAAACCGCAAAUAAAAACCGAUGUUGUUCUCCGUUAUCUCUUUCUCUCUCUUGUUACAGAUAUGGCUUCUCGCCACUGUUUCUCUCUUUCUCUAGUUUCUCAAUCUUCAACUGAAGCAAUCUGAAAAACCAUAAUAUGAAGAAUACUUGGGUAAAUGAUAUCUUGCAUAUUUACAUUGUCUUAUCCAUUUAUUCAUGUGCAUUUUCAUCAUAUAGAUUAGGAUUUAGCCAUGUCUAGGUUGCAUUUUGCAUACAUAUGUCUCUAUCAGGUAUUUGAGUACCACAUGGAGUUUCUGGAGACAUUUGGGUGCAUUUGGAGCUCAAAGGAGGUGAUUAGAGUGGUCUUUGGACGAGCACUGCCUGAAGCGACUUCUCGGAGCGACGGCAUGAGGUCGCUGUGCACCACAUCCCGGAGCGACUCAUCCAGAGCGACUGCACAAAGUCGCUCGCGUUUUCACAUUGAGGUUGUAGAAAAAUCCCUUGUAGAUUUCAAAAAGAAAGAGUUAAAGUUCUUAGGAUCUAUUGGUGAGAGAUGUGAGUUGGGUUUGACAUUUGGGAAUGAUUGUGUAAUUGUAUGUUUGGGAAAAGGGUAGAAUAAUGGAGAUUGAGCAUUGUAUGCAUGAGUUGGUCCCUUUCUUAGAUAUAUUAUGUGCAAUGUCAAGGCUACUUGUUUUGAGAGUAAACCACCUUAAAGAUCAUAUGUUUUGAACCUCUUGAAUCACUUGAAUAAAAGCCUUCCCUUUCCCAACCAAAUGACUUGGACCAACGGACCAUUUGCAAGAAUUCACCUGAUGUUUUCUGCUUAAUGAAUGUGAGAGUUGGUUGAUUUGAAUGUGUGGAUGCUUGAUGAUGAGUGUAGGGACAAAAGGAGUUGAGAUAGGCCUAGAGAAGCUAGAGUGUAAUAAGAGAGUGUGCUAAUUAUGUUUGCUAGUUGUGUUUCUUUUGGCUAUGAGCUCCCACCUUCAAACCUCUCUCCUUAUGAGUUCUAGAAAGUUCACUUGAGGACAAGUAAAAGAACAAGUUUGGGGGAGUUGAUAUCUUGCAUAUUUACAUUGUCUUAUCCAUUUAUUCAUGUGCAUUUUCAUCAUAUAGAUUAGGAUUUAGCCAUGUCUAGGUUGCAUUUUGCAUACAUAUGUCUCUAUCAGGUAUUUGAGUACCACAUGGAGUUUCUGGAGACAUUUGGGUGCAUUUGGAGCUCAAAGGAGGUGAUUAGAGUGGUCUUUGGACGAGCACUGCCUGGAGCGACUUCUCGGAGCGACGGCAUGAGGUCGCUGUGCACCACAUCCCGGAGCGACUCAUCCAGAGCGACUGCACAAAGUCGCUCGCGUUUUCACAUCCGGAGACACACAUUUUGAUCUCGGAGCGACCUUCCAGAGCGACGUGCUGAAGUCGCUCCCGAAGCUUGGAGCGACCUUACCAGAGCGACAGGGAGAAGUCGCUCGCCAUUUUGGUUCUCGGAAACACGAAAUCGCUCUCGGAGCGACCUCUCGCAGCGACCCAGCGAGGUCGCUCCCGAAGCCUAGAGCGACGUGCUGGAGCGACUUGCCGAGGUCGCUGCGCGUCGCCUAUCUGCUCGAAUUAAUGUUUUCUCAAGGGCCUUUUUGUCAUUUUAUUAUGCACGUUUUUUAUUCUGAAAACCUAUGUUUUAAUACUCUGUAAGCCACCAAGAGGGGAUUAUCUUUGUUCUUAGAAAAACCACCAAAAACCUUUGGAAAGUCAUCUCUUUGAAUCAAUUGAUCAGUUUAUUAUUGAGAAUUCUGUGUUCUUAUCUAUUUUUCCUGUGUUUCUCUACAUGAUUAAUCUGAAAUCCAACAUGGGUUUAAGAGGAAUCAUGGAGAUUAGUGAGUAAUCCCUUUUGAAUUCAUGGGUUAGGGAGAUUGAGGGUGAUUAGGUUAGAACUAGGAUGUUUUAGUGUAGAUCAUUCAUAUUUCCUUGCUAGUUGAGUGAGCAUAAUGCAUCUUCUGAGUUGGCCACUCAGUAGUUGAAUCUUAGGCAUUUCCCCCCGAAAGGUGUUCGAGGAAAUGCCCGAGACAACUCUUUUUAGCUUUUAGCAUACUUUGCCAAAGACAUUUGUUGUUAGAGGUGCUAAGAUAGCCAUUGGACUUGCUGGUUAUGAUUGCUUUCAUAUUAUUCAACCAAAGACAUUUGAUGUUUGAAUUGUGUUAAGUAAAUGAACAUUCAUCUAGACAUAGAGUUUGUUUAGGAUUGUGUCCAAGCUUAAGGUUAAUAGAUUGAUUGAUCGUUUGCCAUCUUUAGUUCGAAACUUGAUCACCCGAGGUCUAAUCCCUAUAUCCAUGAGUUCUCUUUUCCAAUAGUUAAGAAAGUAUCAUUUAGUUAUUUCUUUUAAUUAGUCAUAGUUUAAAAACCCAUCUAAAUCAUUGAUUGCACUUAGAUUAAGUGAUUACUUGCAUUCUCGGUGCUUUGAUAUCUCUCAGAACUGGUUCGACAAUCAUUUAUACUACAGCAUUUGUCUUAGGAGCCUUGAAAACUCCUAACAUCAAAUUGGCGCCGUUGCCAAAUUCUGAGUAGAUUUAAACAUUGAGAUUUAGUCAAUUGCUUGAGACUAAGUCAUUUUUAUUUUCUUUUGUUACUGACUCUUCUUCACCUCCCUUUAAUCUACAGGUGUAUGAACUUGCGGAGCAGGGGUCCAUCAAACCUAGUUCCAAGAGCAGCAGACAUCAGAGCUUUAGAGAGAGAGUGUGCUAAAAGAGAAGAGAAGAAGAACAUCAGGCUCAAUUGCAGAGACUGAACACUGACAUGGGAGACGUUCAUCAAGAAGAUGCAGGCGUCAAUGGCGCUAACAACAAUGGUCCACCUAACCAACAGCGAGCAGCUCGACCCAUUGGCACUUACGACCGUCCAAACAUUCAUGGUCAUAGAUUGGGAAUCCGAGCACCCGCUGUGGCAGCCAACAACUUUGAGAUCAAGUCAGGACUCCUCAACGUGAUUGAGAACAACAAGUAUCAUGGCUUGGCUCUAGAGGAUCCAUUUGAUCACUUGGACAGGUUCGACAGCUACUGUGGGUUGUCAAAAACCAAUGGUGUGUCCGAAGAUGCUUUAAAGCUCAAGCUAUUCCCUUUCUCUUUGGGGGAUAAGGCACGUCAGUGGGAGAAGUCUCUACCCAGCGACUCCAUUACCACUUGGGAUGACUGCAAGAAAGCAUUCUUGGAGAAGUUCUUCUCUACUUCAAGAACUGCUAAGCUGAGAAACGAGAUCUCCAGCUUUCAACAGAAGGGCUUGGAAGGUUUCAGUGAAGCCUGGGAGAGAUUCAAGGGCUACCAAGCUCAAUGCCCACACCAUGGUUUCUCUAAGGAGAGCUUGCUGAGCACAUUCUACCGUGGUGCUCUCCCUAAGUACAGGGCCAGACUGGAUACAGCUAGUAAUGGGUUCUUCUUGGGGAGAACUGAGGAGGAUGCAGAGGAGCUGGUUGACAACAUGGUUAAGAGUGAUGCAGUCUACAGUGGAGACCACGACAGAGGCAGUAGAACUGAUGAUAAGCAGACGAGGAAGGAAUUGAAGGCUCUACAGGAUAAGAUAGACAUCCUCAUUGCUGAUAAAGCUACCCAAGAGCAGCUGCACUUUGUUGGCAACCCAAGCCAAGAGACACCAGUUGUUGUCCAUGAAGUUGAGGGUUUGGAAGGUCAGGAAGAGCUGUGUUUCAUCAACAACAAUGGUAGCUGGUACAAGAAAGAACCCAACUUUCAGUACAACAACUACCAACAGAAAUCCUAUUCCAACAACCAACAGAGUGGUUAUCAGCCUCGGAACAAUCAGCAAGGCAGCUAUCAACCUCAGCAAAACCCUCCUCCUGGAUUCAACAACAAGGGCAACCAUUCUUCCCAACAACAAUCUAAUCCCUCUACCUCCACUCCUCAAGUCAGCAGCACUGAUGCUCUACUGAAACAAAUCCUGGAGUCUCAAACAAGAAGUGAGAAGCAUGUUGGCUAUGAGUUGAAGAAUCUUCACUCAAAGAUUGAUGGGAGCUACAAUGAGCUCAACAACAAGUUCAGAGCUUUGGAGAACCAGUUUGCUGCCAUGAACACUCAACAAAAUCGCCAACAAGGUUCUCUACCUGGAAAAUCUGAGCAAAACCCCAAGGAAACCAUGAAAGCUAUCACUCUCAGGAGUGGUAAGGAGUUACCUCAGAGAACUCUCACCAAGGAUGCUGAGAAACAAAGUGAGGGGGUUGCCAUCACCAUAGAUGAUGAAGUGGUGAUUGUUGAUGAGAAGAUCAAUGACGAGAUCUUGGAAAAGAUAGUGGAAGCAAAAGGAAAAGGAAAGGUUGGAGAAGAGAAGAAAACAGUUAAAGAUGGUGAAGUUGUCACUCCUGCAAGUGAAAACUCUUUUGUUCCUCCUGCCUAUGAACCCAAGCUUCCAUUCCCAGGUCGAUUCAAGAGGCAGCUGCUAGAGAAGUACAAAGCUUUGUUUGACAAGCAAAUGAGUGAAGUCCAGGUCACAAUGCCCAUUAUUGACGCUUUCAUGCUGAUCCCUCAGUACAGCAAGUUCCUCAAAGAUGCUGUAGCUGCAAAGAAGAAAGAGAUGGAGGGCAUGGUGAUUCUCACUCAUGAGUGCAGUGCUAUCAUUCAGAGACUGGUCAUUCCAAAGAAGCUAGAAGAUCCAGGAUGCUUCACAUUACCUUGUGCUCUUGGACCUAUGGUAUUUGAUAGAUGUCUCUGCGAUUUGGGAGCUAGUGUCAGCUUGAUGCCCCUAUCUGUUGCUAAGAAGCUGGGUUUCACUCAGUACAAGAAGUGUAGACUUUCUCUGGUAUUGGCUGAUCGUUCAGUGAAGUACCCUGUGGGUAUCUUAGAGGACCUCCCAGUGAUGGUUGGAAAUUAUGAGAUCCCUACAGACUUUGUGGUGCUUGAAAUGGGUGAAGAAGCUCAAGAUCCUUUAAUCCUUGGAAGACCUUUCUUAGCCACAGCAGGAGCUAUUGUUAAUGUUAAAGAAGGCAAGAUUGAUCUCCAUCUGGGUAAAGGGCACGUUCUGCAUUUCGACAUCAAGGAAGUAAUGAGGAGGCCAACAGUUCAAGGACAAGUGUUCUACAUCGAAGAGAUGGAUGCCCUUGCUGAUGAACUCCUUGAAGAGUUGUCACUAGAGGACCCUCUACAGCAUGCUUUAACUGUAGAGAAGGAGACUGAGGUGAUUGAGAACCUGGAGAGUACUGCCUAUGGGAUGAUGCUGGAUUCACACCAGGCGUUUUUCAGUAAGGACCAGUACGAGGAGCUUCCACAGAUGGUUCACCAACAAGUCUCAGUCACUCAACAAGAGGACAACCAGCAGGAUGACUGGAGUGAACUUAAGGCACCUAAAGUGGAGCUUAAACCUCUUCCCCAUGGUGUAAGGUAUGCAUUCCUUGGUCCUAAUGAAACUUACCCUGUCAUUGUGAGUAGUGAACUUACUGAAAAUGAGCUAUCUGAACUUUUGAAAACACUUAAAAGAUUUAGAAAGGCAAUAGGUUACUCACUAGAUGACAUCAAGGGGAUAUCACCCUCUUUGUGCAUGCAUAGGAUACAUCUUGAGGAUGAAUCAAUGACUUCUAUCGAGCAUCAAAGAAGGUUAAAUCCUAACCUGAAGGAUGUUGUAAAGAAAGAGAUUCUUAAACUCCUAGAUGCUGGUGUUAUUUACCCUAUCUCAGAUUCUAAAUGGGUAUCACCUGUGCAUGUUGUACCAAAGAAAGGUGGUAUCACUGUGAUCAAGAAUGACAAGGAUGAAUUGAUACCAACAAGAACCAUCACAGGUCAUAGAAUGUGCAUUGAUUACCGAAAACUAAACUCUGCAUCUAGAAAGGAUCAUUUUCCACUACCAUUUAUUGAUCAGAUGCUUGAGAGACUUGCAAAUCACCCAUUCUAUUGUUUCCUUGAUGGGUACUCAGGAUUUUUCCAAAUCCCCAUACAUCCCAAUGAUCAAGAGAAAACGACAUUCACAUGUCCCUAUGGUACCUUUGCAUAUCGAAGAAUGCCAUUUGGACUAUGUAAUGCUCCAGCCACCUUUCAAAGGUGCAUGAUGUCAAUUUUCUCUGAUCUGAUUGAGGAUGUUGUGGAGGUAUUCAUGGAUGAUUUCUCUGUCUACGGAUCUUCGUUUUCUGCUUGUUUGUCAAAUUUGUGCAGGGUCCUACAGAGAUGUGAAGACACCAACCUUGUGCUGAAUUGGGAGAAGUGUCACUUCAUGGUCAAGGAAGGGAUUGUGCUAGGACACAAGAUUUCAGAGAAGGGGAUUGAGGUGGAUAAAGCCAAAAUCGAUGUUAUGGUUGGUCUGCCUCCACCAAAGACAGUGAAAGACAUCCGGAGUUUUCUUGGUCAUGCUGGAUUCUACAGGAGGUUCAUCAAGGAUUUCUCCAUGAUCACUAGACCUUUGACCAGACUGCUGUGCAAGGAAGCUACCUUCAGUUUUGAUGUAGAAUGUCUACAAGCUUUCAAGAAGCUGAAAGGUGAACUCGUUAGUGCCCCAAUUGUCCAGCCACCUGAUUGGGAUCUCCCUUUUGAGAUCAUGUGUGACGCCAGUGACUAUGCUGUGGGAGCUGUUCUGGGGCAGAAGAAAGAUGGCAAAACCCAUGUGAUCUAUUAUGCCAGCCAAACCCUCAAUGAUGCCCAGAUGAAGUAUGCCACAACAGAGAAGGAGAUGCUGGCAAUUGUUUUUGCCUUUGAGAAGUUCAGGAGCUACUUGGUUGGGUCUAAAGUCAUUGUCUACACAGAUCAUGCCGCCUUGAGACACCUUUUGGCCAAGAAGGAUGCAAAACCCAGGCUUUUGAGGUGGAUCCUUUUGCUCCAAGAGUUUGAUAUGGAGAUCAAGGACAAACCUGGAGUUGAGAAUGGAGUAGCUGAUCAUUUGUCCAGGUUGAGGGUAGAGUCUGGUAUCCCUAUUGACGAAGGACUUCCUGAGGAGCAGAUCAUGGCUAUCGAAGCAGUGAUAGCAGUUUGUGAGACUGGUAGGAAGCUGGAAGAAGUCAAAGCAACAGAGGAGAAGGAACCUUGGUAUGCUGAUUUGGUGAACUACCUAGCCACAGGAAGAGAACCUUUGAAUCUUGUAGGGUAUGCCAAGAAGAAGUUCUACAAGGAUGUGAAAAGAUAUUACUGGGACGAACCCUACCUCUACAUUCUCUGCAAAGAUCAGCUUUAUAGGAGAGUGGUUGCAAAUGAGGAGAUUGAUGGGAUCCUUGCACAGUGUCAUGGAUCAUCCUAUGGAGGUCACUUUGCCACCUUCAAGACAGUUGCAAAAGUAUUACAAGCUGGAUUCUGGUGGCCACACAUGUUCAAGGAUACACAAGACUUUGUUUCGAAGUGUGAUUCUUGCCAAAGAAGAGGAAACAUCACCAAGAGGAAUGAGAUGCCUCAAAAUCCAAUCCUUGAAGUUGAAGUGUUUGAUGUCUGGGGUAUUGACUUCAUGGGACCAUUUCCAUCAUCUUUUGGCAACAAAUAUAUCCUUGUGGCUGUUGAUUAUGUCUCCAAAUGGGUGGAAGCCAUUGCAAGCCCCACCAAUGAUGCUAGAGUUGUAAUCAAGAUGUUCAAGAGCAUCAUCUUCCCAAGGUUUGGAGUUCCAAGAGUUGUAAUCAGUGAUGGAGGUUCCCACUUCAUUAACAAACUGCUUGAGGGACUUCUCAAGAAGAACGGUGUGAAGCACAAGGUGGCAACUCCUUAUCAUCCCCAAACAAGUGGCCAAGUUGAGAUUUCUAACAGGGAGAUCAAAUCUAUCCUGGAGAAGAUUGUGGGGAUUACAAGGAAGGAUUGGUCUAAUAAGCUUGACGAUGCACUUUGGGCUUAUAGGACAGCGUACAAGACACCACUGGGUACCACACCUUUCAACCUAGUGUAUGGGAAAGCUUGCCAUUUGCCAGUGGAGCUUGAGUACAAGGCACUAUGGGCAAUAAAGUUGCUGAACUUUGACAUCAAGAGUGCCAAGGAGAAAAGGCUCUUUCAGCUACAUGAGCUUGAUGAGAUAAGAUUGGAUGCUUUCGAGAACUCAAGAAUCUACAAGGAGAAGACUAAGGCUUUCCAUGACAAGAACAUCCUGAAGAGAGAGUUUAAAGAAGGAGACCAAGUUCUUCUCUACAACUCUAGGCUGAAGUUGUUUCCAGGAAAGCUUAAGUCAAGGUGGUCCGGUCCUUUCAAGGUCAAGGAGGUUAGACCAUAUGGAGCAAUAGUUUUGUGGAGCACUGAUGGAAGAGACUUCACAGUCAAUGGACAAAGGGUUAAGCUCUACAUGGCUACUGCACCAGAGGAAGAUGGGGUUUCAACUCCACUGUCUGAUCCUACCCCGGCCUAAUCUAAAAGGAGGCAAAGUCAAGCUCGGGACUUAAAACAAGCUCACUUGGGAGGAAGUCCCAUGCGUAUCCUUGUACAUAUUGCAUUGGUAUUUCCAUUUUUCAUCUUAUUGCAUAAAAAAAAAAAAGAGAGAGAAGUUGUGUGCAGGUGCUUGAUCGGUUCAUUUUGAGCAGGAGUCGUGCGUGGGAGCGAGGUCUCACAGCGACACCUCAAGGUCGCUCCAGCUGGGAGCGAGGUUUCGAGAGCGACACUCCAUGGUCGCUCGCGUUUUCGUCGUCGGAUCAAGAAAAAAUCGCCUCAGAGCGAGGUCUCGGAGCGAGGCCGAAGGGUCGCUCCAGCUGGGAGCGACAUUAUGGGAGCGACACCUCGGAGUCGCUCGCGUUUUCGACGAAACGGAGCUCAAAAACUGACCCGGAGCGACGUCCUAGAGCGACACCUUGAAGUCGCUCCAGCCCAGAGCGAGGUUUCUAGAGCGACACUUCAAGGUCGCUCGCGGUUUUGUCGAAACACGACGCGAGGAAACGACUCGGGAGCGACCUCUCCCAGCGACACCCUCACGUCGCUCCCGAACCGGUCCAGGUAAGUUUCCUAACUCUAAACCCCGGUUUAAUUCAAGUAAACCGACCCUAACCACCCUAAACCGAACCGGACGACCCUAAACCUACCCCAACCCCCGCGACUCCUAUCUCUCUCACUCUCCCCUCCUCUCACAAACUCACAAACUCUCUCAAACUCACCCACACCAAAAAUCCCAAAACCUUCUCAAUUCUCACCCAAAUCAACUAGUUCUUGUUUCUAAACCAAGCUUUCGCCCCUGUAGCCUAUUCCUCACCACCCAUUCACCAUUUCCUUUCAUCCAGAGCAAGGUAUUGAGUUUUUAAAUUCAAAUUCGUAGGUCCAUGAACCCUAGAAUUUGAAAGUCGAAAUUUGGUCACUUUCUUGCUAGAUUGUGGUGAAAUAGACUAGGGAAAGUUUAUCUAUCAAGUUGGGUUGUUGAAUUAAUGGUGAAAUUGAGUUUAAUUUGCACUUUGGCAAAAUUAGGGUUCAUGGAAUUAGGGAUUUUCGAAUUUGACCUUAAUUGGGUGAGUUUGUGGGUGAACUAGAUGUGUUAAGGUGUUACAAGAGUGAGAAUUGUUGCAUUGUGUUGAACUUGAGUUUAAAUUGAUAAUUCAUUUGUUAAGUUCACUUUUGCAAUUUUCUCUUGCAAAAUCCUGUUUUUCUUUACUUCCAACUACUUAUCCCUUUUCAAGUUUUUACUUCUUCAGGUGAAAAUGGUUAAGAAGACAAAGGGAAAGUUGGAAGCUGAGAAGCAAGAAGCUGAAAGAACAGAGUUUGCAUUAAGAGGAAAAGCUUUAUCCUGCGAGCCAACUGGGUCAGGGACGCAGAGAACCGUUCGACAGCAGACUUUGGCUGCAAGGAAAUCGCAAGAACAAGAGAAGAGGGCUGGGAAAAGUGUAGCAGUUCCCACUCAUGAGGAGAGUGAAACUGAGAGUGCUGAUGAGCAGGCACCUACGAAGAAAGCCAAGAUGUCCAAAGGAAAAGGGGUUGCUGUUGAUCGAGACAGGGCAAAAACUCCAUCUGUGGAGGAGCUGUAUGAUCACUUGAAGAAUGGGUCACUUGGGCUCCAACCAGGUUCGCCGACCUCGAUUUGCUGAAGGAGUUGGGCCUAGAAUCCGAUAUUGAGGCGAUGCUGGGACAUUUGAAGAUGCCAAAACUCCUCACCAUGGCUUAUCCUUUCUACAAGGAUGUCACUUGUCAGUUCCUAUCCUCUCUUGUGGUCACUUACCACGACACGGCGCAUGUGAGGCAAGGAUGGGGAAAAAUCACGUUCAAGGUCAAUGGAAGGGAAUACAACAUGAACUUCAAGGACAUUGGGAGGGUCAUGGGGUUCCAAGACCUAGAAGACCACUCACUUCCCAAGUGUGAGAACCUCCCCACAGAGCUUUGGAAGUUGAUCACUGGAAACAGGCACUCUACCGGGGCUGACAAGAACUCACACAUCCGACACCCGUCUGUACGCUACCUCCACAGAUUGCUAGUCCAUGCUUUCUACCCACGGAAGCAAGCUGGUAAUGUUACUGAGGAAGACAUGCGACUGCUCUGUCCGGCUAUCCGUCCUUACGCUCAACCUGGAGUGUUACCCCUUCCCAGCACUGAUAUCUAUGCUACCUUUGGGAUGGUCAGUUUCUUUGUGGGCCGUCUCGAACACUACAGAGACUGGGCGUGGUACACCACUGAUUCGCGCCCAAAGAUGGGGAUAGGCGGAAUGAUCACACCACUGCUCCAAUUUCUGAAUGUUCCCUUGGGAAAGGACGCAGCGGGGCCUAGGUUCAUUGAUGGCACCUACUUGAGGAUUGCCACCUAUUUCAGUGGGAUGUAUGGGAAGGACUACGUCUACCACUACUACUUGCAGGGCAAGCCAGUCGAGGUGGUUCUUCCAAACCGGAACCUGACGAGUUUAGAGAUACCAGGAGCUGUCAGCUUCAACAUUCCCCAGGAGUACUUUCUCGGAGAACACGGGCCUCUCGAUCCAAUUCAAGCAGCUUCAUCAAGGAGAAGGAGUGUCCCUACGCAACCUGACCCGCCUGUUGCAGACACGUCUGAGCAUAUCUAUGGACCUCCGCGCUACUACUUCAAGCCCCAUGACGGAGUCCUUCCCCCUGGAGCUCUCCGUGAUGCUCAUGACCACAUUGGUCGUCUCCAGAGGUGGAACAAAGCUCAGGACAGAACGAUAGAAAAGCUGAAGGAUAAGUGCAAGGCGCUCAGCAAGACUGUGAAGAAGCAGGCAAAGACUUCAGCCAAGUUCAUGAAGAAAGUAGCUGAUGUCUUAACUAGGGGAGGAAUAGCUGGAUGUAGCUCAGCCGAUUUCGCUUUCGCGAACACCUCAAACCCCCAGCCCCCACCCCCGCCUGAUGCUCUUGGCUUCCCCCUCACUGCUGCGCAGCUUCAGCGUAAGUGGAGGAACCCACCCACUCAACCUUCCACUUCCGGCAACAAAUCCCCAUCCCUCGCUUCUUCUGACAGUGAGCACGAGAUUGACGAGGUUGAGAGCCAGCCAUGGUAUGGAGGCUCCGGUUCAGCAUCCGGUGGUUACUACACCACCUUCCCUCCUGACGACGACGAUGCUGGGGCAUCUGCCCCCACCUAUUAUCCAUAGGAGGUACUUCUUUCUCUCCCUUGUAUAUACCAUCUCAUUUUUUUUUUUUUGCAUAUUAGUUUUCUUCUCGGUAUCUCCUUCUUUCUUUGACAACACAGAGACUGUGUAACUCAAGUUUGGGGGAGGUACCAAGCAUUUGAUCACGUUUGCUUUGAUUGUGUUUCAUUUGAGUCAUGCAUUGCACACCUAUUUGCAUAAAAAAAAAAAAAAAAAAGAUUUUUCAUUUAGUUUGCAUCAUUUGCACCAUUAGGAGAGUCUAGAGCAUAUAGGGUGCAUUCACUUGCAUUGGGAGCAAUGAUUUUAAAUGCCUUGUAAAGAACACUACGUUGCACCAUUGAGUAGCCAUGCACCUCUCGAAAAGACUUGUAUGUUUCGAGCCUUGAAAACUCUUCUUGAAACUUGUUGAUUGCUGAAACUCAGUCUUUGAAGCCAACUACAACCUUAUUAGAAAUGAAUGAACUUAAUGCUUCUUGCUUAGGGUCCCUUGUGUACUGAGUCAUGGCUAUACACACUGGAGUUGUCACAUCUUUUAUGCCAAUCUUUUUGACAAACUCUAGUGGUAGACCACUCCCAAAACCUUUCCUUCCUUUUAAGCUUUCAUUGUUUGAUGAGUGAGGCCUUCUUCGGAAAGUCUUACAUGCGCAUAAUGUUGAGAGUAUCGGGAACGACAAUGCUUGAUCUUCAUUUUUGCUAGAUUGGACACUCUUUUGUCUAGCUAUAGGUGGGAGGGUGAGUGUUGUGAUCAUGAUUUGGGAGAAAUGAAAAAUAAAAAGGAUAGACUCUUUGUGCUUAAGUGAAUUGAUUUUCUGGGAUAAGUAGAGAACCUCUAGCUCUAGUUUCGAAAAGUCUUGGCCCCCAACCUAAAAAAAAAAAAAAAAAAAAAAAAAAAAAAAAAAAAAAAAAAAAAAAAAAAAAAAAAAAAAAAAAAAAAAAAAAAGGGGGCUAGCAAAGUUGUUAGGAGCUAAGAAAUGUUUUGAGGUUGUAGAAAAAUCCCUUGUAGAUUUCAAAAAGAAAGAGUUAAAGUUCUUAGGAUCUAUUGGUGAGAGAUGUGAGUUGGGUUUGACAUUUGGGAAUGAUUGUGUAAUUGUAUGUUUGGGAAAAGGGUAGAACAAUGGAGAUUGAGCAUUGUAUGCAUGAGUUGGUCCCUUUCUUAGAUAUAUUAUGUGCAAUGUCAAGGCUACUUGUUUUGAGAGUAAACCACCUUAAAGAUCAUAUGUUUUGAACCUCUUGAAUCACUUGAAUAAAAGCCUUCCCUUACCCAACCAAAUGACUUGGACCAACGGACCAUUUGCAAGAAUUCAC